AAAAUUGUGACGGUGUCCAUCUCAUUUCUUUCAUAAUAAUGAAUAAUCUCGUUUUCUUUUAUUUCUUGAUUGACUUUUCUCUUGUCUUUCUGGAUCCUGUGUUUCCUUUUAGGGUCCAUUUGGUUGAGAGUGGUUGAAGGGGAGGGGAUAUUUUAAAUCAUUUAUGUUUGGUUCAAUUUUUAAGAGAGGGGGAUGGGAGGGAAUCAAAACCCCUCCUAGACCACUUUUUGCUUCCCCUCAAAUUGGGGGGAUUUGGAAGUGAGGUGACUAAAAACACUUCUAAACCAUUUAAAAUUCCUCCCCUCAUUUUAAACCAAACAUGCUUUUAAUUAAAAACUCUCCCCUUUGUUGAACCAAAUAGACCCCUACGUAAUAUCUCUUUCUAUCAUUUAAUAAGAAAUUUGAAAUUGCAAAGCCCUGUAUCAGAUUGUGAUCUUAACUGGCUUAAGAAUUCUUGCGAGAUAUCAGUUGGCUGAAUUUGAGGUAAUAUGACUAUUCCUUUCACAAAUUCGGUUUAGGAAGCAAGUUUUCACAUUUUAUUAUGAGGAUAAAGAAAAAGAGUUAUAAUUUCACACAAUACAAUUAACUGUUUCAAUGAAUUUAUUGCAGCUGUGUGUCCUAGGCAAUCUUUGCCCGGAAACUGUAGAGGAAGCUAUUGCUAUGGUUCCAUCUAUCAAGGUAGAAAUAAUUUGCCUCUCCUUCUUUCUGUAAACUUUUCCUGUUGGGCGGGGAUGAGAAGGGUUUGUUUUUGGGAAGGAGUGGUGAUGUUAGGUCAAUUUUAAAUGAUUUGAAUUCUCCCUUUCAUGCUUGUUAAAAUGAAGAAGGGGAGAUAAAUAAAGGCAUGAAUUGAAUCAAAUAUGAUGUUCUAUAAAUUUAUCUCUUUGAAUAAAUUUCUAUUAAAAUUUUAUCGAGUUGGUAGGAGUUGGUAGGACGGUAGUAUUGUUUGAUUGAUGUGGUCAAUACUAUCUAGCAGGGAAUAACUUAUUUUUGGUGUAAAAUUCUGUUUUGUUAAUGAGCAAAAUCAGAAAUAUCUACAAGUUUGGCAAUUAAAUUUACAAAAAUUCCCAAUAUUGGAGAAUUCAUAAGUAAAAGCUGGAGGAUUUUAUUGGGUUACUAUUUAUCUCCGUAAUGGCAUCUCAGUUUUUAUUAAUAUGUUUCAUUUAUUUUUCCCGCGAGCCUUCUGUUACAUUGUUCUUUUACCAUUUGCCCUCACCAUAAUAUAUUCCAGAUUCAUCAUGGUUCAAAAUGUUUUUUCUGACAGAUAGAAUUAAUGAAAAAACUUCAUUUUCUGGGUGUACGUGUGUUGUCCAAUUUUAAACUUUACUUACCUCUAUAUGGUUGUAACCUUAUAAUAAUUGAUAGGGUGAUUGACAUUUGAAGUAUUCUUGCACCCUUGUGGAUCGUGGUUUUAAAAUUAUAGUACUGUUAAACAUGGUCACACUAAAUUUGUGUAACAACUAAUACAUCUUUUUUGUCAUGUGUCAUUUUUUAACAUGCAGACAAGAGGACGGGCUCAGGAUGAUGAAGCAAUUGAGAAGAUGUUAAAUGACUUAUCACUGAUUAAGAAAUUUGAAUAAGAGUUUCUUACAGUUCUUGUAAAUCAUGGUCAGUUCUGUGAUGUACGGUAAGUGGUACUGUAUAACAUACCACUUGACAGCAAACAAUGUGUUUUGUAGUUAUUGCAGAACUCAUGCUGGUAAUAUAGCUACCUUACUGUGACUUUUAUUGAGGAGGAUUUGAAAAAGAUGGUAUGUGGUGCAUUGAGACUGUGUGUGGUAGGUUAUGAACUUAUGAUGAAAGAACACUGAUUAUUGUCUUGCCUGUAUUCUCCUAUAUGCAACAAAAGGGGAGCUAUUAUUUUUUUGCUUGUGACAUGAUUAGAGAACACAUUACACACACCGGUUCCUAUUUCCUACAAAUGUGUGAUAAUUGUCUAGAAACUAAAGAGAUACACUUAAUGCAAAUUACCGAACCCUAUCUUCUAGGAUAUUAGAUGCAGACACAUGAGCUCACAUUAUUAUUUAGAUAUGAAAAUUUUCCUAAAAUGAAAAUGGAUUGUGUUUUUUGAUCCUUCUUCAAACUACAAACAACAUUUUGUAGAAACUAUACUUUGUGUGGCAUUUCAUUUCAAUUUCAUGUCGUAUUUCAUUAUAGCAAUUUCGCAAGAAGCAAGGAUGCUCAGAUAUAACUGGAUGGUAUUAUUCAAUCUUUUUUGUAGAGGUCGUGUUAAAAUAAGUAAAAAAAAAAAAAAAAAAAAAAAAGGCAUCUCUCGUUCCCGAAAGAGCAUUAUGCAUUCCAAUGAUUUCAUGAAUGCUUAGUGUGGAUAUUUUUUACAGCUUUUGGUGUAUCAUAAAUUCCAUGCAACCAUGUCGAUAAAAAUAAUCUGGAUAACUCUGAACCUCAUCAACGGAGGGGGAAUUCCAUAUUUAGGCUGACUAAAAAAUUCAGGCUUAUGUUGAAAUAUUCUCAGUCUCAUAUUAUGUCUCAUAUUAAGUGUCCUUUAAGGCUGGCUAUUCACAUUUUAUAAAUUUGAAUAGCUAAGUGAGUUGAGUCGCAUAAAAUAGUCGCACAGCAAAUUAAUAUUACAUGAUUCAUUAUUAUUGCCAAAAAAUAUGAUUAAUUAUUAUUGUUUUUUUUUGUUGAAAGAACAACAUAAUGAUUGUUCACAUAAUACUCAAACAACAUUUAUUUCAUUUUUAAAGUCAUUUUAUAGUGUUCUUAAUUUAAAAAAGAAAAAUAAGUUAUCUCCUCUGCUCCACAACCCAAUUCGCAAACAAAACCUUAAUGAACAACAAGAGACCGAGAUAGAGGGAAAGAACUUCUGAUAUGCUUUUGUUGAGAGUAAUGAGAAUUGAAGAGUCCUUGGUAUGGACCAUUUUAUGAUCUUUUGAACAAAACUGAAACAUAUAUAACUUCCAGGUCUUUUCACUUAAUGCACAUUGCAAAAAGAUAGAACUGCAAUUUCGUUUAUAAAAAAGUUCAUCUGCAGUUAAAAUUUGAACUAUAAUUUGAAUCUCUUUAUCAGAUUGUUUCAGCUUAUAAUUUAUAUUAAUGAACCGAAAGUGUUACAUACCAACAUGAGAAUUGUAUGGUGGAGGUUUUCGAAAAACUUGCAACAUCCUUACGAUUAUUUUUGGUAUUAUUAGAGUUAUCAAAAACCAAUUAAUGCAAAUAUUAAUUAUUAUUAAACAAUAUAUAUAGCUUAUUUUAUCACUAACAAGUCAUCAACAAGUUAUUUGAGUUUUCCUUAACCAUACAUCUUCUAGUUUUGUUAAUCAAAACUGGGAUUUCAACCAAUGUCGAAGACUCAAAUGGUUCUCCUUCCACGAUUAAUUAUGCACCGAGACCAUUGUCAUCGCCGUAUGAAAAGUAUUUGAACAACUGUGCGUCCAAGUUAUAUCCAUUAUGUGGUGAUGAGAUUUUCUAUACUGUGUUUUCUGGUAAUCAAACAACUGGUACUGAAUGUUGUUAUAACCUUAUUAAUGAGGUAGGAGAACGUUGCCAUCAAGACUUAACAAGAUAUAUUUUGUCAUUGGAAGAUUACAAGCACAACAAAAGUUCAUUUUGGCAAAGAAGUAAGAAAGUCUGGGAUGAUUGUGCUUCUAUUUUAUUAAACAUUUCUCCAGUAGAAUCAGUAUAUCCCACUGUAUUUAACUUUGACUAAAUAUCCUUCAAAAGUUAUGAGCUUGUACAACUUGAUAGUAAAUAAUCCAUUUGUUUGGACUGCAAAUGUUGAAAUAGUGUUUAAAAUAUCUAUUACACAUUGAAAUAUUGACUUGACUAAAAUUCUGGUUUGGCUUGUAAGUGGAUAGGAUUCUCUUUUACCUUUCCUCAUUCUUUCUGUUGCUAAGACUAAAGGAUGAAUGCCACCAAUGACAUGUAAAAGAAACAAAAGGGAAACAAAAUUAACGUGCUUAAGUCGAUAUUUCAACAUGGCUUUAUAAUCUCAUUAAUUGAAUCAAAUAGCAAGUACAUGAAUUCCCCUUUGUAUGCAUGUAAAACAUAGGGCUAUCCCUCUUCCCUCCAUAAAAAUAUUGAGAAGCAUGAAACGGAAUCAAAUGUUGUUCAAACCUUUAUCUCUAUGCUGGUUCAAGCAUAAACAUGCACCCAUUUUUUUUUGCAAAUCUUGUAAAGAUACUUCUAUUGGACUUUGGUGGUGGCUCCAUUUCCAUGAUAGGUAAUGACUGCAUCUUCACUUCCUGUGACAAAUCGGUUUUAACAUUAGUUGAUGCCUCCACUUUCACUUCGGGUGACUGCUGCAUCUCCAUUUCAGGUAACGACUGUACGUUCACUUCGGCUAAUGGCUCCAUUUCCAUGUUAGUUGAUGGCUCAACUUCCAUAGUAAUUGAUGCUUCCACGUCCACUUCAGGUGACAGCUGCUCGUUUACUUCCUCCGAUGGCUUCAUUUCCAUGUUAGUUGACGUCUCAACUUCCAUAGUAAUUGAAUGUUUAAUUUCCAUUGUAAUUGAGUGGCCAUAUAUUAGAUAAACAGCUGUCUGCUUAACAAUCAAUCCAUGGCCAAAAGCUACAAAAAUCUCUACAUCGUCACCAGGACCUAGAUUUGAUAUUACAUUCUUCCAAUCUUCAUCAUUAAAGAACAUUAUCGUGUCUCGCUUGUAUAUCUGGAUAUUGCACUUUGUGUGAUUAACAACAAUGAAGACACUAGUUAGACAUUCAGCUCCCAUGAUUUCAGAUGUUGAUGAAUAAACAACACAUAAGAUUAUUCCCUUAAUAUGACAAUCAACAUCCUCAGGAACUUGAAAUUGUGCUGAAGGUCCUUCACCUGUAUAGGCUAACCAAGAAGGAUGAUUGCCACUUGGAAUUCCAAAAGGUGAAUAUGUUACAGAAAAUGACAGUGUGCUGCAUGGAGAAAAAAUAUUAACUAGGAAGCUAGUUGACACAAAACAGCUAAUGGUUCAGCAAUGCUAGAAAAGACUUCUGCUUCAAUAAUAGCUGGGAAAGACUUAUUAAGAGAAAAAGUUGCAGAACUGAUAUGCCAUUCACGUUUUUCAACUUGUAAUGGGCCGGCUAAUGGCCAUUUUCUCAUUUCAGUCCACUCACAUUUAAAAUGCUCAUUAUAAUCCCCACUCUGAGGCAUCAAUAACAAAAAUAUCAUUUGAUUUUAUACAAGGUUUUGUAAUCUAAGAAACAAAAUAGGGAUAGGUUGGACGCAGCUUAUCUAGCAUAACGACAAGGGAUUAAGAUUCCCUGCAGUUUAGAGAAAACAAAUGAACAGAUUGGACAAUUCUAACGAUAGGGGAGGUUGUUGAUAUAUGAAAAAAUAGAAGGGGCAUCUAUUGUAUUUACAUUAAUCUCAGGGGAGGUUAGUGUAAUUUUCCCUUUGCUUUUGUUGUUGUGUCCUUCCUUUCCUACUGAUUCUACCACGCAGCCAUAUGCUUCAUUUGCUGCAUGUGCAUCUCUAUACAUUUGGCCUGUUUGGCUUAGUUAUCCAAACUCAACCAUCAUCCAUCUAUUGCAUUCUCAAACUAAAAUGUUGGCAGGAUAAAUUAUUGAGAAGUAAAAUAUUGAUAUGUAAAUGCUACAUGUGGCAAUUUAUAUUUAACAUUUUAUAAUAGGGUUAAUAGUGUUUUUCACCCCUGUAAUAUAGAUCAUUUCUGGUUUUCGCCCUUAUAAAAUUUUCGGUUUGAUUUGCAUCCUUGUAAAACUUUUUUUUUUCGGAAAACACCCCUCCCCCAUAUGACUGUACAUAUUUGCUGAUGUGGUACAUUGUGUGGCAUGCUGACUGUACAUAUAUGCUUAUGUGGCGUGCUGACUGUAUAAUUAAUUUUUUUUUUCUAAGGCUACAUGUGGCAUUCGUGACUAUUUUUUUUUAAAAAAAUUAUAAUAUAAAUACAUUUAUACUAAUUUAGAAAUAAAAUUAAUUUUAAAAAUAAAAUUCAGGAUUUUUUUUUUAUUAUGAAAAAUAUUUUCCAAAUUUUUUAUUUUUUGUUUAAAUUAGAAAAUAAUUUUUUUCUAAAAUUUUAAUUUCAAAAAUGAUUUAAUAAAAAUCUGGAAUAAAAUUUCCGAAAAAAAAAAUCUGAAUUUCUUCUAAAUUUUUUAAAAAAUUUGUAUCCAGAUUUUUAAAAAAUGUGACUUUUUUCUUAAAAUUACGAAUUUGUUUUUUCUAAUUUAACUUUUUACUUUAUUUUGAAAAUUAAACUCCAGAAACUUUAAAAAAAAUUCGAAAAAAAAUCUGAAUUUCUUCUAAAUUUUUUAAAAAAUUGUAUCCAGAUUUUUAAAAAUAAAACAUUUUCCAGAUUUUUUUUUUGUAGAAAAAAAUUUAAGACUGUGUUUUUUUUCGGGAAAAAAAUGACUUUUUUUUUUUAAAAAAUUUCGAAUUUGUUUUUUCUAAUUUAACUUUUUUUUUUAUUUUGAAAAUUAAACUCUAGAAUCUUUAAAAAAAAUACUGAAUUUCUUCUAAAUUUUUUAAAAAACUGUAUCCAGAUUUUUUAAAAAUAAAACAUUUUCCAGAUUUUUUUUUGUUGAAAAAAUUUUAAAACUGUUUUUUUUUGGAAAAAUAUAUGAAUUUUUUUUAAAACCUCGAAUUUGUUUUUUCUAAUUUUUUGUGAUUUUUUAAUAUUUGAAUUUAAAAAAAAAACCGAUAUUUCAAAAAAAUCUUAUCAUUUUUUCAGAUUUUUUUAAUAUUUGAAAAAAAAAACUUUUUUUUUUCGAUUUUUAAAUUUUAUGGAAAAAAAUCUGAAUAUUUAUCUGAUUUUUUUUUUUUGAAAAUUAAUUUUCAAAUAUUUUUAAAAAUAAAAUCUGAUGUAGACAAUUAAUAAUAAAUAAAAAUUAAAAAAAAAAGCCAAGUCAGCGCCACAUAUGCGCAUUUGAUGAGUUGGAUGGAGGAGGGGUGUUUUCCGGAAUUUUUUUUUUUACAAGGAUGCAAAUCAAACCGAAAAUUUUAUAAGGGCGAAAACCGGAAAUAACCUAUAUUACAGGGAUGAAAAACACUAUUAACCUUUAUAAUAUAAUAAAGGGUAAAAAAGCCAAGAGGAUAGAGAAGGAACCUGUGAUAUGCUCUUUCCAAGAGUUUUGAUGACUACGUGGCAACUUCCUAUUCUAAUCAAUAGCGAUCUCGAGGAAAGAUUUGAGACUUGUGAUGCAUGUGAUGACUCCAAUUCAGUAAAAUUUACAUCACAUUGAUCAUCAAGAAUUCUUCGUAAUUCUCGAGUUAGUUGAAUCUUUGAGCGGCAUUGUAACCAAACAGCUCUGAGCUGUGAAAGGCUCCUAACCAUUGUCGAUAGAAAGCCCAAAUUAUUAUUCUGUACAUUUAUGGAAGCUAGAGAUAAAGUCAUAUUUCCAAAUGGGGAAAUACGGGGUAGAGAAUUCAUGGUUGGUGACAUCCAAGACCAAAUGAUAGAGGGAAAAACAUCACGUGAAAAUCCUCAUAUCCACAUAGGGAUAUAUAUCCAAUGCUUUUUGAUCUUACUAUUGAAUAGGGCACCUCUUUCACACCUGUAUCCUUUGCAAUCAGUGUUGUCAAGGAUUCCAUCUGCACUAUGUCUUCUUCCAAUUUGUCAAUCUUUGAGCAACCAGAAAGUAUGAGAGUUUUCAAAGAUUUCAAUUGGUAUAUAUUCUUUGGGAGAUUUUGAAGACUUCUACAGUCCUUCAAAUUUAUCAUAUGAAGACGAUUGAGAUCUCCAAUGGACUGGUGUACCUUAGACAAGCAUGGACAAUUCUUCAUGAUGAGCUUUUCUAGAUUCGGUGAUUUUGAAAAGUCUGGAGUGGUUUUUAAAUACUUGGAAUAACUCAGAUUUAGAAUUUUCAGAUUCCAUAGCAACUGCAAGAAGAUAAAUGUUAAAAUUCUACCUUGGUUUCAUUCCAAACUUGUUUGAUAUUGCUAUGUUUUAAGUCAAUAACAACGAGAUUUCCAAGAUAGAGGUCAUCAGGUAUAUAUCUGAAGGCACUUUUCUGCCAAUGGACCCAUCUCAGUUCUUUAGAAAGAUACCCAUAAUCUCCAGUCAGGUCCACAUUAUCAAGUUGUAGAAGUCUCAGAUUCUUCAUUUCCUUGAAAGAAUCAGCACUGAAGCAAACUCUGCUGGUUCUUUCAAACCUCAAAAUCAAUCCCUCUACAGUUUCUGUUCCCUACAUGCAUGUGAAGAAAAAAAUUGGAAAAAAAGUAAGGAGAAACCUGUUUUUCAUUUUUUCUUUCAAGAUGCAAAAUUAUUUCUCAAGAUGAAAAAAGUAAGGAAUGACAAGGCAAAUAAAUACACUCCAACUAUGAAUACUACAAUGUUAAGGAAGUAUUUCAGAAGAGCAAAACAGUUCAGAAACAAACAAGGAGGCUUAUGAUCUUGAUAAGAUUAUGGAUGGAGAUUAAAGUUCUUACAGAAUUUUUGGUCAAAAUAUCAUGUGCAUCCUGGUGAAACCAUAGUCGACUAAGCUUUCCAGGCUCUUUUGUUGAACUUUCACAAACAAUUUCUCUUCCCAUGUCUCUUAUUAAAUCAUGCAUUCCAAUUUUGUUAUUCUUUUCCAUUUUUACAAGGCUCCGUUCUAUGAGGAUCGCUAUUCCAAUAACAGCAUGAAGUCCACAGCCAUUAAGUAUCUCUGUUACGUAAGCUCUGUCUUUGCCGAUAAAGAAACAACAUAUGUCAAGAAAUAUAUCCUUUUCCAUACCAUCCUUUAAACCAUCGUAACUUAUUCUCAGCUUCUCUUGCACUUGAUCAUUGGGAAUUCUCUCUAAUUUUGAGAGUAUACUUUCCCAUUCUUCUUUUGUCCUCUCAUACAACUAAGAACCUAGGACUUCCAGAGCCAGUGGUAAUCCUCUGCAAUAAGCAACUACGUUUCUUGAGAGUUCACUGAAGUCUUUUAUUGGAAUAGGUCGUCUGAAAGCAUGCCAACUGAAAAGCUCAAGGGACUCCCUUUCGUUCAUUUCCUUCAUUGUAAAGACACGGUCAACUUCAAGUAACUUAAGUAUGCGCACAUCCCUGGUUGUAACAAUUAAAACACUUCCUGAGCCAAAAAAAAGUAAGAUUUCGAAAUAGUGCAUGUAACUGUUUAAUUGUGGUCACAUCAUCAAGCACAACAAGCGCCCUUUUCCCUUGAAGUCUUCUCUCUAUCGUAGAGGUCCCCGAUGCAAUGCUAUGUAUAAUCUCCUUUGAAUUCAAGAUAUCUGAAAGAAGUUGCUGUUGUAAAUGAAUAAUCCCAGUACUAUAUUUUUCAUAAACUUCUCUAAUAUUUUCGAUGAAACUUUUAUCCUCAAAUUUGCGAUGGAUUUGGUUGUAGACGGCUUUGGCUGUGGUUGUUUUACCCAACCCACCCAUUCCCCAUAUUCCCAUCAUACAAACUUUGCUCGGCUGAGUUACAAUAAACUCAAUCACAAGAUAGUACUCAAAGUGAGCAUAAUUUGCUGCAUUAGUUUUUCCAAAACGUCCGCCACAAUUUAGUUUUUCCAAUCCGGUAAUGGGCAAGAAUGCACUAUCUAGUUUUUCCAAAACGUCCGCCACAAUUUGCUGCAUUAGUUCACCUUCAUUCCUUGGGUGAUAAUAAGUAUACACUCAAAGUGAGCAUAAGUUAUGAAAUAUCACAAGAUAAAAAAAUAUUAUUACAUUAUGGAAAGAAAAGUAAAAAGUGUUGAUUUAACUACCUGCAAUUGUUGACGUCCCAACCAGCCAAAUUAGCAGCUUCGGUGAGUGCACUCGUCCACCUAGACAGAACAUAUUCCAGCCUUUCCUCUCCCGAGUGAAAGUAUAUUUUUUUUGCUGUUGAUAGCAAAGCUUUCCCGAAAUCGCCCUUCUGGUAGCGCACAACAGAUGGAUCAACAUCGUAAAAUACUGGGACAACCACAUGGCCAUGAGUUCUGUAGCAUUCCAUGAUCUUUUUCAAUUCGUUAAGACACCAACAAGAUUCGGUAUAUCUUUUGGAGAAAACAACAAUGGAUAUAUGAGACCAUUCUAUUCCUUGGGACAAUUCUGGUCCUAGCUCCACUCCCUUGUGAAGUUGGCUGUCUGUGUAAGUGUUGAUUCCAGCAUUUGUGAGGGCAGCAUAUAGAUGAGAAACGAACGUCUUACGAGUAUCUUCUCCUCUAAAACUAAUGAACACGUCGUGUAUCCAUCGAGGAUUGGAGGACGAUGAAGAAGAAUCCAUUAAUUUGAUUCCACAGGAAAGCCAGGAAUUGAAGUCAACGCUAAGAAGAGAAGGAAAAAAUGCACAACAAAGAGUGACAACUUCGUUUUUGUUAUAACAUAGAACGUGAUAUGGCUUCAAUCAUUCAUUAUUAUUUAAUUUUGAGCAUCUCCAAUCUAACAACCUCAGUUGUUUAAAAGUGUUCCCUGUUUUAUAAAAAAUAGUGAAAGCUUGGACUAACUUCUUCAUAAACCGCAUCCACUCAUAUGUGGCCAAACAUAUAUUUAUUGUCCAUAAAUAUAUUUUCAGCACAAAAUAUAUUUGAAACAAAUCUUUUAUAUUUUUAGCAACAAUAUUCUCCAUCCAUCAAAUUUUGAGUCAUACUACAACAUAAACAACCAUGAAAAUUAAUUUAUCAGAAGAUUUUUUAUUUUUUAUAUAUUUGUUUGACAGUAUUAACUUCGAACAUAUCUUAUUUUAAUUUAUAAGUUCUGCAGUUGAAAAUUUAUUUUUCUUUAAUAAGUUACACUAAUUAACUUUGGUCGCUCCUAAAUUGAAUUCCCUCCGUCCUUGCUUUUAUAUAUCGGUAAUGAUACAUAAGCCGGAAAAAAUUCAUGAUUGAUUUCAAGAAUGAUGUGAAAUGUUAGUGUCCCUUAGAUUUCAAUUUAUUUUCACUAUCACUUCAUUAAACAAAAAUAUGUAAGACCAGCAUACCAUGAUUUCCGGCCAGGCAAAAUUUUGAUUAGGCAAUUAUGUUUUUCGGGACGCGAUCGUGGUAAAAUUAUUCGGGACGGGAUCGUGAUAAAAUUAUAUAAAACAUAGGGCCGUCUUUUGUUCAAAAUAAUCAUAGUGUCACCAAAAUAAAAAAUAAAAAAUAAACAUAGAGCUCAGGCAUGUCCAAUCAAAAAUUGUUCAAGCAGAAAAAUGCACCCAUUUUGUUCGGAAUACUCGCAAAUAUACUUUUAUUGGGCUUUGAUAAUUGCUUCAUUUUCAUGAUAGGUGAUGACUGCACAUUCGCUUCAUGGGACGGCUGCACAUUCACUUCCUCCGAUGGCUCCAUUUCCAUGUUAGCUUCAUCCACUUCCAUAAUAAUCGACUGGCCAGAUAUUAGAUAAACUGUUGUUUUCUUAACAAUCAAUCCAUGCUCAAAAGCUACAUAAAUCUUCACAUCAUCACCAGGUCCUAGAUUUGAUGUUACAUUCUUCCAAUCUUCAUCAUUAAAGGACACUACAGUGUCUCGCUUGUAAAUUUGGAUGGUGCACUUUGUGUAAUUAAUAAUCAAGACACUAGUGAGACAUUCACCUGCCAUGUUUUCAGAUGUUGAUGAAUAAACAACGCAUAAGACUAUUCCCUCCAUGUAACAAUCAAUAUCCUUAGGAACUUGAAAUGGUGUUGAAGGUCCUUCACUUGUAUAGACUAAGCAAGAAGGAUAAUUGCCGCUCGGAAGGAAAAAAUUGCCCGAAUCGUUGAUUGUUAAUCCCUGUAUCAUAAGCAUACGCUUAGUUAUUCAUGUAAUUAUGCUAUUCAAACGAGGAAGCUAGUUGAAACGAAACAGUCAAGAAGAUAGAGAAGGAACCUGUGACAUGCUGUUGCCAAGAGUAUACACGACUGUGCGACAACUUCCCAUUCCAAUUAACUGCGAUCUCGAGGAAGUAUUUGGGAUUUGCAAUGCUUCGGAUUCAGUACAAUUAAUAUAAUAUUGAUCAUCAAAAAUUAUUUUUAAUUCUUGAGUUAGUUGAUUCUUUGAGUGGCAUUGUAUCCAAACAGUUCUGAGUUGUGCAAGGCUCUUAACUAUUGGUUUUAGAAAGUCCAGGUUAUUAUGGGGCAAAUUAUUCAUUGUUGGUGACAUCCAAGACUGAAUAAUAGAAUGAAAAACAUCUUCUGAUAAUCCUUCAUAUCCACAUAGAGAUAUAUAUCCGAUGCUUUUCAAUCUUACCACUGAAUACGGCACCUCUUUCACACCUGUAUCUUUUAUGACCAGUGUUGUUAAGGAUUCCAUCUGCACUAUGCCUUCUUCUAACUUGUCAAUCUUUGAACAACCAGAAAUGAUGAGAGUUGUCAAAGACUUCAAUUGAUUUAUCUUCUUUGGGAGAUUGCUAAGACUUGUACAAUCUUUCAAAUUUAUCAGAAGAAGAUUCCUCAGACCCCCAAUUGACUGGUGUACCUCAGACAAGCUUGGACAGUCCUUCAUAAUGAGCUUUUCUAGAUUCGGUAAUUUUGAAAAGUCAGGAGUGCUUGUCAAGUACUUGGAAUGACUGAGAUUGAGAAUUUUCAGGUUCUUCAUCAACUGCAAAAUGAUAAAUGUUUCAAAUAAAUAAGAAAUUAAUGGCGGCAACAAUAACUAUAUCAAAUUAUAGUUUCAAAAUAAAAUAUUUAUAUCACACCUUGGUUUCAUUCCAAACUUGUUUAAUAUUGCUGUGUUUCAACUCAAAAACAACUAGAUUUCCCAAAAAAAAGUCAUCAGGUAUAUAUUCAUGAGUAAAUCCCUGCCAAUGGAGCCAUCUCAAUUCUUUAGAAAGAAACCCAAAAGCUCCAGUAAGAUCAACAUGAUGAAGUUUUAAAAGUCUCAAAUUCUUCAUCUCCUUGAAGGUAUUAGUCUCGAUGCAAACAUCGUUGGUGUUUUGCGACAUCAAAACCAAUCCUUCCACAGUUUCUGUUCCAUGUAUGUGAAGAAAAAAUAGAGAUUGGAAGGGGAAUUAUUUUUUGUUUGCUUCUUAGAAAGUACUAGAAAAAGCUAUAGAGCCUCUAUAAUAGAGGAGCAUCCCAAACGUGAUUGUAAUGAGCAAUUGAACAUGACAAUGCAAACACACUCAUAUCACGCAUCCAACAAUUUGCAGCUAAUAUCCACCAUGGCGCUGCGUGGCUGAUAUUUGACAACAUUAAUUACAAAUAAACAAAAAAUCUUGGCAAGAAGAUGGAGAAUGAUCAAAAGUUUCAUAUUUUAUACAAAGAAAGUUCUUACCGUCUUUUCUGUCAAUACUUUAUGUGCAUCCUUGUGAAACCACAAUCGACUACGCUUCCCAGGCUCUUUUAUUGAUCUUUUACGAACAAUCUCUCUUCCCAUGUCUCUUAGCAAACUAUGCAUUCCAAGUUUGUUACUCUUUUCAAUUUUUAGGAGGCUUCUCUCUAUGAGGACAGUUAUUCCAAUACCAGCAUAAAAGUCACAACCAUCUAUAAUCUCUGAAACAUAUGCUCUGUCCUUACCAAUAAAGAAACAACAUAUGUCAAGAAAUAUAUCCUUUUCUGUAUCAUUCUUUAAACCAUCAUAGCUUAUUCUUAGUUUCUCAUGCACUUUAUCAUCGGGUAUUCUCUCUAACUUUGAUAAUACACUUAUCCAUUCUUGUAUUGUCCUGUCACGCAAGUAAGAUCCAAUGACUUCAAGAGCCAGUGGUAAUCCUCUACAGUAAACAACUAUUCUUCUUGAGAGUUCACUGAAGUCUCCUUUCGGACUUGGUUCUCUAAAAGCAUGCCAACAGAAAAGCUCAAGGGACUUGUUUUCAUCCAUUUCCUUUAUGUUAUAGAUACGGUCAACUUUAAGUAACUUAAGUAUGCGUACAUCCCUAGAUGUAACAAUCAAUACACUUCCCGCACCAAAACAUUUACAAUUUAUACAUAGGGCUUCUACUUGCUCUAAUGUGCUCACGUCAUCGAGUACAAUGAGUGUCUUUUUCCUCAUAAAUCUCUUCUCAAUUGUUUUCAAGACAUUAGAAAGAAGUUGUUCUUGUAAAUGAGUAAUCCCUCUAUUUUCCUUUUCAUAAACUUCUCUAAUAUUUUCAAUGAAACUGUGAUCUACAAAUUUGCGAUGAAUUUUGUUGUAGAUAUCUCUGGCUGUUGUUGUUUUACCUGAUCCACCCAUACCCCAGAUCCCUAUCAUGCAAACUUUGCUUGAUUGUUUUUCAAUAAACUGAAUCACUUGUUGCACACGUGUGUGCAAUCCAACUGGAAAUUCAGUAAUAGACAUUAAUCUGCUGUUUAAUUUUCUCCUGACGUCCUCAAUAAUCAGAGGCAUUAGUUCACCUUCGUUGCUUCAAUAAAACACACGGAGCAAAUAUAAAUGAAUUAUUUGAAAGAUUAUAAUUAACUGGAAAAAAAAUAUACUCCAUUCUGGAAUAAAAGAAAAGGAAUCAGGAAACUAGAAAGCGUUGAUACUACAGAUAUGUAAAUUUAGUAAGUAAUUAUGUUAGCUGAUAGAUUCUGCAUAGAUAGUUACCAACUUACUCUCAAUGUUCAUUUUGAUCUAAACAAUUUAUUUUUCAGCGCGCUUAUGAAUACACAUUGUGUACAAUUUCUAUAACACAAGAUAAAAUAAAGUCGAAUUGAUUUUGUAUAAUCUAUAAGUUGUUUUCAAUUUUUCAUAAGCCAUCAUGAAGAGCUUUAACCAACAUGUCAUAAGUUGUUUUCAUAAUAUGUCAUAAUUGUUUAUGUUGGUCCAUAAACUCAAAUAAAUAAAUCAAAAUGGUAAUAAUAGUUGAUUUACCUGGAUUUGUUGAUAUCCCAACCAGAUAUAUUUGCAGCUUCGGUUAGUGCAAUCUUCCAAUUGGACAAAGCAUAUUUCCUCCUUUCGCCUCCAGAGGGUCUUCUUUUUGCAGUUGCUUGCAAAGCUUUUCCAUAACCAUCUUUCUGAUGACGCAAAGCCGAUGGGUCAACGUGGUAAAAUAUGGGCAUAACCACCUGUCCAUAAUUUUUGCGGCAUUUCAUAAUUUGUUCAAGCUCUUUAAGACACCAACUAGAUGUGAUAUAGCUUUUGGAGAAAACAAUGAUAGAAAUACGAGAAACUUCUAUUGCUCGCAACAGUUCUGGUCCCAGCUCCUCUCCCUUUUCAAGCUUUUUGUCGUCAAGAAAAGUGUUGAUUCCAGCAUUUGAGAGUGCUGCAUGGAGAUGAGAAACGAAACUGGAACGAGUGUCUUCCCCCCUGAAGUUGAGGAACACGUCGUAUACCCAUUGAGGAGUGGAGGAGGAUGAAGAAGACAUUGACUCGCUGUGUUCGCGCGACGUCAACUCUUAGAAGACAGUAAGAUAUUAAGGAGAAUUGGAAAGUUUCGCUGAUAUAUUAAAUGGGUGGUAGAGAGAUGCAAUGGAUCAAACCUCUAUUGGUCCAGUUAUCAACAAAGCUAGUGAAAUGAAAAUUCCUCUUCUCACUUUCAAAAUUGCCCAGAGUUUAAAUUUUCUAAGGACUUAUAAUAUCUAUUUUUUAAAUAUAAUUAAUUACUCCCUUCGUUUUUAAAUAUAAGUAAAAUUGACUUUUUAGGUUCAUUUAUUUAAUGAUGUACGUGGUUCAUUGACUUUUUAGAAUCAUUCAUUUCAUGAUGUAUGUGGUCCAUAUUAUGAACCACAUAUAUCAUUAAAUGAGUGAACCUAAAAAGUCAAUUUUGCUUAUAUUAAAAGACGGAGGGAGUACAUUUUUUAGAGUAAUGUUAUUUGAACAUCAACUUGGUUGACAACUAAAUUGACAACCAUAAUUUUAUAAACAAAAGUAUGGAUUGGCACAAAAAUCAAAGCAAGAGAGAGAAAACAAAAAUAUAAUGUGAAUAUUAGAGAGAAAGUUGUCACAAAAGUUGUAAGGAAAUGAUUGUACAAAUAUUAUUUCUCCAUUUUUUAAUAUGGAUGUAAUACUUAAAAACGUCAUGUAAUUUGAGACAAAUGGACUAAAAUUGAAGAGUUUCUAUUCCCUUUUUUUCUCUUUUCGGGCAAUGAUACAUGUACCACCUCACGAAGCCACCACUCUUAGUUGGCACAAUUUAUAAUAAAAAAUUCCACUUAUAUAUGUGGUAUUUAUUUUAUUUUUUAUUUAUUGGCUUAAUACAUGCUUUGGUCCCUUAACUUAUUUUUGAAUUUCAUUUUGGUCCCUUAACUUUAAAUCGUCUCAAUUUGGUCCCAUAACUUUACCUCCGUUUACCUAAGUGGUCCCUUCUAUUAAAAAAACUAACAGAAGGGACCACUUAGGUGAACGGGGGUAAAGUUAUCGGACCAAAUUGAGACGGUUUAAAGUUAAGAGACCAAAAUGAAAUUCAAAAAUAAAUGUUAAUAAAUGUUAUAAUUUUGAACUUAAUUCUGGUUUUCUUUUUAAUGUGAUAAUUAAUUAGCUUUGAAAUUUUAAUAUACUUAUGAUAAGAAUAAGUAAUUAGAGAUAAAGAAAAUCCUUUGAUCCCUUUGAAAUUUUAAUAUACUUCUAAGGUAGGUUAUAUCCACGUCGAUAAAAUUGAAGAUUUUGAUCCCUUUGAAAAUCCUUUAGACAAAUUUCACACACGAAUCUGUUUGUUGCCAUCAAUGGUUUUGGUGAUAAAGAUAUCACUUUUGCUUCAGGAUCUGCAUGUGCAUAUAAUAUAAUCUAUGAAACACUAACAUAGACACAAAAUAUUGAUGCGGACACAUAUCAACACGAUUAAUAACUCUAGAAAAAAAUUAAUUUAUUGAAUAAAAACAUAUGUUUUGAUUUGUUGGAAAGUGGACGACAUUUCAAUCUGAAAUGUUAUAUGUUACAUAAUAUAUAACAAAUCAUUUGCUUCUUAAUUAUUAUAUAUAUAAAAAAAAGGCUUAAUACAUGAUUUGGUCCCUUAACUUAUUUUUGAAUUUCAUUUUGAUCCCUUAAUUUUAAACCGUCUCAAUUUGGUCCCAUAACUUUGCCUCCGUUUACCUAAGUGAUCCCUUCUCUUAAAAAAAACUAACAGAAGGGACCACUUAGGUAAACGGAGGCAAAGUUAUGGGACAAAAUUGAGACGGUUUAAAGUUAAGGGACCAAAAUGAAAUUCAAAAAUAAGUUAAGGGACCUAAACAUGUAUUAAGCCUUAUUUAUUUUACUAAUCAACUAAAGAUAACACAACAACGUUCUCUUCUCUAAAAAGAACGACAACAAUAUUAUCUCUUCCACCAUAUCCAAUGGCUCGCCGGCCACCAACACCGACCACCAGCCACCGCCUUUUGUUCGUCUCCACAUACCAGUGUCAUUUUCACUCUCAUAGCCGCCGGUUUAUCCACCGACCACCAUAUCCCCCUCUCCACUGGACUCACAAACCAGCGACGACGACGGUGACGGCGCCGGAAUAAAAAAAACCCAGAUCUGCAUCAACAGUUCCACCUUAUGUCACCACCAUCACCAAAAACCGGUGACCACGCAAGAAACACAACCACCUUGUGUUUUGGAUCGUUUUUUUUUACAGAUCUGUGUUUUAAGAUUUACCGUGCGAGAGGUUGUUGGAGUAGAGAGAGGAGACACUGUUAGAUGAAGAUUGUAAGUCCGACGGUGCUGAGGCGGAGGGCAGCGGCCAGAUGGUCGGUGAAGAAAGGAAGAAGGUUAUGUAAGACUCAGAGAGUUGGAGAGAGCUGCGAGAGAAAGGGAGAUGCAAUUAGAGAGGAAGGUUGGUGGGAAUGUGAGAUAAAUCAGAAAAGGCUUAAAUAUGUAAAUGAUCCCUGCAAAUAUCUGGCGUUUUGGUUUUAGUCCCUAUAAAAAUUAUUUUUUUGGUUUUGGUCCUUGGUAUUUUGUUUUAAUCCUUGUAAAAUCAUUUCAUAUUGAAAUUGGUCCCUAUAAUAUUCAUUUUAGUCCUCAUUUUGAGGGAUUAAAAUCAAAUAUUCUACAUAUUACAAAGACCAAAUCCAAUAUGAAUCAAUUUUACAAGGACUAAAACAAAAUACCAAGGACCAAAACCAAGUUUUUUAUAUUUGCAGGGACUAAAAUCAAAAAAAUAUUUUUAUAGGGACUAAAACCAAAAUGUCAGAUAUUUGCAGGGACUAUUUUCACAUUUAAGCCAUCAGAAAAAAAUAAAAAAAUAUAAAAUCCACACAGGAGUGGUACAAGAGUGGUAUGGGUAAACGGGUGUAUUGUAACACCCCGUUUUCCCAACAUAAAAAUAAUCAUUACAACUUCAUACCAACAUUUUUCACAAUAUAUAAAUCUUUCACAUUUAAUCAUCAACUUAAAUCCAUAACAUUAAUCAUCUUAUUCAUACUCUCUGAACCUCAUUAUAAUCAUUAACAACUUUCAUUCAUACCCCAAGGACCAACUCAUGAACUCAUUAGACCCUUUAUACAAGGUUAUUUCCUUCCUAAAAACAUCUCUAGAUGGUUAGGAUAAAGUCUCUACACUUUGGAAGAAGUUUGGAAGCAUUUGGAGUGAAGAAAAUUGCAUUUUUAAGAGACGACUUCAGAUUUUCAACCUUCACGUUUCCGCGCAUAAAAACCAAAUCGUUAACCCGUUUUUGAUGCCGUUUUCGCCUACACGCUCCUGACACUUAGCUCUAUCAUAUUCUACAGAUAAAUUCAAGUUUCAACCACCCAAAAAAAAUCGAUUUCCAAACCUCACAUACUCCCUUAUUUGCAAAAACGUUUAGACACCAACUUUUCAAGCGAAAAUCCCAAUUUUCAUCAACCCAACCCCAAAACUGGUUCUAAUCAUUGUACUAUGAACAAUCUAAGGUAUGAACACUGAUUCUUCAUUAAUUCAACCGGUUUCUAUCAUCUAAUCAACCAAUCACAACUUCUAACCCUAAUUUCCCAAAUUCCCAAAACUACAACCCACAACCUGUUAAAUUCAAUUUUCAGAAUCAUAUACACAUAAUUAUUAAAGGUUAGUCCCACCCUUACCUUAGAAUGGAUGAUCGGCAGCUUCUCUCUCUAUUGGUUCUUCUCUUGUUUUCUCCAUUUUUCUCCAAAAAGCAGGUUCACAUGAAAACUUUUCUAAACCUAGUUUUCUUCUUAUAUCUCUCAUCAUUCUACUUUCUUAUUUCCUCUUUUUCCACUAAACUCCUCUAAAUUUCAAAACAGCCCCACAUCUUAAUAUUUAUUUUAUUUUCAAAUCUUAUUAUAUUAAAUAAUAAAAUAAAUCUUUAAACAAAAUAUCAACACAUCACACAAUCAUAUAAAUUCACAUAAAUCAUCAAAGUGGACUCUAAACUCUAUAAAAUAAUUAAAUAAUUAAAGAGGGCGUUACAACUCUCCCCCACUUAUAGAAUUUUCGUCCUCGAAAAUGUACCUCAGAUUAGACGAUCCGCAUCCGCUGUCUGAGUACCAGAUAAAGCAAACACCUUUCCACUAGACUGAGCUUUCCUAGGUUUCUUACACUGAGAACCUAUGUGACCUUCUUCAUUACAGUUGAAACACACCACAUCUUCAUGCUUGCAAUCUGCAAUUAUAUGCCCUUUUCUGCCACAACGGGAACAAACAACUUCAGUAGGAUUCUCUUUCCUCUUGGGUCCCCUCUCAUCAUUCACCCUCUGCUCACCCUUAUCGCAGGAGCACUGUAAGGCUUUGGACGACUUUGCUGGCCUUUACCUCUCUUCUCAUUCACUAUUUUGUAAUGAGCUCUUGUAUCCUCCUCAUAGAUUCUGCAGCUGCUCACCAGUUCAGAAAAGUUACGGAUCCUUUGGUGAUCAAUGGCCCGCUUAAUAUCAGGACGCAAACCAUUCUCAAACUUGAUACAUUUCGAAAAUUCAGCAGUCUCAGCAGUGUAGUGUGGAUAAAACUUAGCCAGCUCCACAAACUUUGUAGCAUACUCUGUCACAGACAUAUUACCUUGUUUCAGCUCAAGAAACUGAAUCUCUUUCUUCCCACGAACAUCUUCCGGAAAGUAUCUUCUCAGGAACUCUCUCCUAAAAGGCGUUUGAAUUAUAUAAUUCGGAUAGGGGUACUUUGAAAAAUCGAUAGGAUGCGUGAGAAGAAAGUGGGGUGGAAAAAGAAAUUUCCUUUUAUAUUCUCAAGAUAUUGUGUUUAUUUCCCCCACAUGACUCUGGAAUAUGAAACAACUGAGAUUAUCCAAGUCCUUUUGAAAUUUGUGCCACGAGACUUACUUCCUCCGGUCAUUAUUAUAAGGAAGAAAACACUUUUUAGGUUCAUUAAUUAAUUGAUAUACGUCACUUAGUUAAUGAACUAAAAAGUAAUUUUUUGCUAAUAAUAGUGACCGGAGAAGUAGAUUAGUUAUAAAAUUCUACCCAUGCAACAUGCGAGUUAGCAUCUACUUAUUGAUAACUUGCAAUGCAAAUCAGGAAUGAGUCAACAAUCUCAACUAAUUUAUUCUAGAAGGGGUUUUCUCUCCAGAUGAUUGUCGCACCAUAUAGUCAUUUUCAGAUGAUUUGGCCACUUUCUCCACCAUGAUCUCCUUUGUCUCAAUCAUGUCUCUGACGAAGUGCAAACGAAUGCCAUGAAAAGAUUAUAUUCUUUUUUUCAAAUGACAAAUGUUAAUGUGUUAUUUGUGUUAGUAUGGUUAUUUCACAUGAUUGUCCGGGGGGUGGGGUGGGGUUGAACUAAGGGAUUAAAGUAGCCGAGGAGUUAAGUCCCAUCAAGAAGAAAAUAACAACAAAUACCAUACUAACACAAAUAACACAUUAACAUUUGUCAUUUGAAAAAAAGAAUAUAAUCUUUUCAUGGCAUUCGUUUGCACUUCGUCAGAGACAUGAUUGAGACAAAGGAGAUCAUGGUGGAGAAAGUGGCAUCGGAGGAAAAUCCAGCAGACAUGUUCACCAAAUCAUUACCAAAAUCAAGGUUCAAGCAUUGCUUGGACUUGAUUAACUUCAUUGAAGCAUAGAUGAAGGUUGGAGAGAGCAGCAAAGUGAUUGAUGGUCAAAUGAGCAUCAUCACUGAUUUGAAGUCAAGGUGGAGAAUUGCGAGAGUUAACUUAAAAUCAGAAAUCUGGAGAAACGUGCCACGAUGGAGAAGCAAUGUGCCACGAUUGUUGAAGCAAGAUUCUGAAGGAAGUCACUUGAAAAAUCGUGCCACGAUGGAAUGGUAACGUGGCACGAUGCCAUCGCAACGUGCCACGAUGCAAUCGUAACGUGGCACGAUGGUACGUUGAAGGAAAUAAUAGAAACGUAUUUUCUGUGAAGAUUUGUUCCAAUUUUUAAGAGGUUACUUUUCACUAUAAAUAUAAGCCUUGUAUUAGAUGAUAAAGUGUGUAGAAAAACAGGGUUUAGAAGCCAACACAAAAACUAGGGUUUAUAGAGAAUUUUUCUUUGCAACAACUCCAGGGUUGGGAUUGUUUUGAUUUACCUUGAACAAAGCACUAUUAGGAUUGAGUCUCUUGGUCAUGGGAAGAGGCUGGGACUUGGGUAGAAUUAGGUUUGAAGACUGAUUCUUGUAACUCAAUGUCUCUUUGUAAAGAAACUCAUAUCAUUAGACCGAACUGGGUAAACAAAUUCUUGUGUUCUUCUUCUUCCUUUUAUCUCUUGCUGUUUACUUUUGUUUGGAUUAUUUGCUACCCGCUUGAUUUGAUUACUUGUUAUUAAUUUGCUCCACGCAUCAAGUUUUUAUUGGUGUGGUUUUAACAAGGAAUUCACAACACAUAUGAUUCUAUAAAUGAAAAAUAUCCAAAUGAUGUCUUCAUGUUUAGUUCUUUUUUGCAUACUAUCCCAUAAAUAAGGUGUCCACGCUCUUCGCUGCAAUCUUCCUGCGCAUGAUGUCCAGCCUAUAAAGAACAAGAAGUUGAUAGUAUCAUUCCCUUGUAAGAAUAGGAAGAUUUAUGAAGAAUACAGUCUAAAAAUACAAACAUUUUAUUUGAAUAAUAUUUAUGGAACAAGAAGUUAACUGUAACAUUCCAUUGCAUCUUAUUCGUUAACUUUAUAGGGUCCACAGCUUGUCAAGGCUUAACAACUAGCCCUUAAUGGAUCCUAAUCACUCACAAGAGUAUAUGGAAUCUUUAGGGUAUACAUUAAAUUUUGAUUUGAAUAAUAUUUAUAACUUUUAUUUUAUACCCGUGAAAAUAUUUCACCUAACAGAAAGUUGCUGAUGAAUACGUACAACAUUAGUGGUAGCUUGGCAUGUUGGGAUGUUAACUUAUAGUACAAGAAAAAGAAAUUCAAGUUAAUAAUCGUUAAGUAUUUAGGAAAGUGUUGCUGAUUGAUGAUAUUAAUUAUGUUCAAUCGAUAAUUAAUGAGUUAUGACACUUUGCAGAGUAGUCAAUACCGUGUUAUAGAGGUGUAGCGUAUGAAGAUAGCGGCCACUUAGGCUGCUACAGCGGGUAGUGGAAGCGUACGUAGCGGGUUGCGGAGCUUGUAGGGGCUUCAGAUCCGCCUAUUUGAUUUUAGUAGGAAAACUCCAAAUUAACUCUAAUUUUAAACCCAUUUUGAGGGCAUUCAGGAGAUUUGGUAUAAACCCUAAAUUUCCCCAACUCUUUCUCUUCUCACACGAGCUCUUUAUCUCUUCCUCUGUUGUUGACGCAGAUUCUGUCUUUAUCAAGGUAGUCAGGAACGAAUCCCAGCAUGUAGGAUCGCACGAUCUUACGUGCCACAACACCUCGACCGUGCUUCAAUCCUACUUACAAACAGUGUUUUCUCUGUUUUUUGCCGUUUUUCCUCUGUUUCCUCUGUUUUAUUGCUUGGUUCCUCUGUUUUUCCUCUAAUAUCUCUGUUUUUAUGUUUGGUUCCCCUGUUUUCCCUCUAUUUUCCCUAUAUAUUUCUCUCAAUUCUGUGUUUACGUUCUUUCACCGGCCGACCGAUCCUAAGUAGGAACUCGUUCCUGACUACAUUGGUCUUCAUCUCUUCACUUUCAGAUCCUCCGUUUUCAUCCUGUCUUUCAUUUUGUCUUUUGUUUUGUUAUGUACUCUUCAUAAGCACUUUCAGAUCCUUUACAUUGUUGUGUUUCUUCCUAUGUAAGGUAUGCUACAAGUUAUUUUUAUUUUCAUCAUGAGUUCUCAAUUUCUAAAUUGCAGGACUUUGUAUCUGAAUUUCGUAAAAUUUUGUUCUCUAUUUUUUAUUUUUAUUUUCUUCCUCUGGUAACUGGUUCCAUCUAUUCCAUUUGCUCUCUUCCUAAGCAUUUUCAAAUGCUUAUGCAGAACUUCGUAAACUAUGUUUCCACUCAAUUUCUAAAUUGCUAAAUUUUUGUAAACUAUUGUAUGCUUCUACUUCUGUUCUCUUUUCCUUCUUCCUCUGGUUCCUCUUUUGCCUUUUGUAGUUUUGUUUGUGUACAACACAGCCAUGAAUAAGAAUGGUUGAUAAUGAGAAAAACUCCAAAUGGGUGAAAUAUAUGCAGCAAUAAAUAAUGCCAAUAAUUAAAUAAAAAAAAAUCAGUUUUAAUGUAGGCCAGUAUAUAGAUGUAAAAAAAUGUAUAUAGAUGUGGUUAGAAUCCUUGACAUUAUCCAUUGUAAUUUGUCCAAAAAAUUAUCAAAGAGCGGUCAUACCACUAUAAGCUAUCCUGCUAUCUCACUUUUGGUGUCGGCUGCUACGCGCCUCUAUCCGGGAUUAACUACUAUGACACUUUGUUAUAUUCAUUAUUCAACAACUGACUUUAACUAAUCACGUAUUAAAGAUGUGUUAACCAUCUAAGUCUGUGUUUGGUUGAACGCAGUUUGGCAAAAUCAAGGUGGCACCAUGAUGUUGUUUAAGCUAGAAAGUGUAGUUUUUGCCAAAAUCAGGAUGACUCACCUUGAUUCUAAUAAGUUGGUAAGCUUUUCCCUGGGAGUGCUAGCAUAAUUAACGACAACUGGUGAUGAAUAUCCCUGUAAACAAACAAGAUUAAUGUUACGUCAAAGAAGAGAUUAUUUUAACUAGAAGUUCCAUGAUUCUUGUUAAGUAAGCCAAAUUUACUUGGACAACAAGUGACACUUUCGAACAGCCAGUUCAUCAAAAAUUGACUCCAAUGAUGACACAUAUUCUGCAGGGAAGAAUAUGAAGCUUUUGUCACCUAAAUUGGUUCUAACUUGAAUCUAGAAUUUGAAGCUUCUGCCUCAACAGUUAACUUUUAACCUCAAAUUUAAUGUUCAACUCACUUUUACAUGAAUAUAUCCAAAAACAAAUUACUUAGGGCCUGUUUGAAUCACUUUUGGUUUUUCCGUGUUUUUGGUUUUUAAAAACAGCAAAAGUGAAAAUAGUUUUCAAAAACUAUUUUGCAAAACAAUCAAUUCAAACAAGUUUUCAAUUUUUUAGUUUUUGAAAACAGAAUACAGUUUUUAAAAACUGUAAUCAAACAGGCCCGUAGUUCAGCUCAAUUUUAGUCAAAAUCAAUUCAUUCAAAACAUAUCUUUGUCACUGCAUAGACAGAAACAAUUACCAGGCAUCAAGGAUGUUGUCAAGCCCAUAUAUGGGUUGAGGCUUAUCAGAAAACGCAAAUCCUGAAAUAGAAAAGAAAAUGGAGAGAACUUUUGUGUUUCUGAAAAUUGGUUAAAUGUUAGCAAUAAAUUUUCAGACAAAAAUAGUAAAUGAUGUCAGUCAUUACACAAAAAUUGAACUGCAGCUGUACUAACUUUGAUAUAGAUGAAAGCUUAAUUAUCAAGUAAACUAUAACAGCCUAAAAAUAAAAUCAACACUCUAAAUUAGUUAGCCCUCAAUAAUUUUUCUAAAGAGAUUUAAUUGAUAUCAUUUUAGAAAAUCCUAUGCUUCUUGAUCGGCACCAAAUAUUUUGGUCAAUAAGACCAACCUCUUACUACGCAGGAAGAGAUGAGUGAGUAUAAAUUGGAGAGAUGACUACAUUUAUAUCUUGGGAGAGAGAGAGAGAGAGAGAGCAGAUUAUAUCUUGUUUCUUCCCAUUUUCAUUGGCCAAAUCAGAUGUUAUGUUUUUUUCUUUGUAUUGCCAUUUUCAUGGUCGAUAUGAACUUCUAUAAAACAGCAAUUUAAAAAUUCACAAUCAACUUAAAAUGCAAAUGAGGAAGCCUGAAUACGUGAAGAACAGAAAAAGCAAGUACAGCCUAUUUUAUUUUAUUUAUAUUUUAGAUGAAUAAACUAGAAGGAUUGUGAAUGAAUUGAAACUGGCUAAAAAGGUUUCAUUAGUUAAGCAAGUAAAUGCAAUAAUUACUGAAGAUUCAAGGCAAUAAGGGGAAGAACAGAAAAGUGUUUCAUGGUUACAAUAUUGAAAGUCAUUUACUUUUGAAAAUUCGAAAAAUAAAAUAAUAGAAACCAAAGAAAAUCAGUUGUUUGUAGCGGUUAUGGGUACCUUUCUAAUGAAGAGAUGGUAAGAUUAUCUUUGGUACAUGACCUAUUUUGGGCCAUGUUUCACCUGUUUGUGUCUGACAUUCUUCAACUAAAAUGGGACAUCCAAUGAUUUCUAUGGUCUGUAAGUUAGUUAGACGGGGCAUUCCUUCAGGCAGUGAUGCCAAAUUUAUGCAAUCAUACACCCUAAGAUGCUGAAGUGAUGAGAGAUUGCAUAUCCAAUCUGGCAAUGCCUCUAGGUCUUCACAAUUAUGAAAGGCAAUUGUUUGUAGAGAAGGAAGACACUUCAGGUCAUCCUUAAACCAAGUUUCAAUUUCCUGAAAUGCUUGACGAGAAAACCAAUUAAUUUGAAGGAGCUGGAGAGAAGUAAGAUUUUGCAUCCAAUUCUCUGGGAUUCUUUUUACAUUCAGGCUCACCCCAUCAAUGUGCAAGGAUUUGAGCAUGGAAAGAGGAGGGAUAUCAUUCAAACAUUCUAAUGCUAUGUUUAGUGUUGCUACCAAUGUUUCCACACUACUAUCGAACAAUUCCAAUCCGUUCUCAAGAUUUGGAAAGGUAGGCGUGGAAGUCAACAUCAAACAUCCUAUGAUUGAUAAUUGAGAAAGACGAGGAAAAGGAGGCAAGGAGAGAUUUUGUGAACAGCUAGUAUUAUUGAAAUCAUCUCCCAUCCUCCACCAUCCCUUCAACAUGUAACAAAACUGCAAAGAGAGGCACUCCAAAGAGGGAAAGAAUGCCGAAGCAAAAUCUUGUUCAUAAUAUAUGUACUCAAGUUCUUCAAGGAAACUUAUAUGAAGUGACUUAAGGAAUGGGAGAUGCUCCAAUGGUGGGAGAUACUGGAGACUUCCACACAAAAAGAGGGAGAUUUCAACAAUAUUUGUCAAUGAAGAAAUCCAGUUUGAAAGAACCAUCCCCUUAUGCUGCCAAAUGCUCAAUUUUACAAAUCCAAAUGAUGUCUUGUCUCUGGAGACUUCCCAAUCAGAGAUGUGAAGGUGCUUCAAAUUGAUUAAUUUUGAUACAACCUUUGUUGAAAACUUCACUUUUUCAUUGGGUGUCAAAAUUAGUGAUUGUAACAAAACAAGACUGCUAAAGGAUUUGUAAAGACUUCCAAGUCCUCUACAGUGAGAUAAGUUAAGAUAUCUUAAAUGUUUCAAUUUUCCAAUUGAAUUAGACAACUUGCUUAAAGAACAAUAUGACAGCAUCAAAACACGUAAACAUUUGAAUUUUGAAAUAACCGACAUUUCAUCCCCAUUCAAUUCCUCCUCCUCAUUUGAAGACCACAAAAUCAAAGUUCGCAGCCUGUUUGCAUCUAAUGAGCCCAACAAAUGAACUGCAUUGGGUUCCAACGAUACAUGCACGGGUCUUUGUACACGUCUUUUUGCCUCGCUUUCAAUGUAAAAGCAAUCAUUACCAGCUACUUGUGUUGCAAGAUCAUGCAUUAAAUUGUGCAUUUUGAAACUAACUAACUCACCAUCUUCACCCUCUUUUGCAUCUUGGAAAAAUGACUUUAUCAAGAGAAUCUUCACAAAUUCGUUACCGACAUCUUCCAGGAGUUGUUUACCAUCUGAGCAUUCAAGAUAACCUUGUGCCAUCCAAAGUUGAAUCAACAUAUCCUUCUCGAUUUCCCAAUCCUUAGGAAAUAGAGAGCAAUAAGCAAAACAUUGUCUCAACCGAAGCGACAAACUUUGGUAACCCAAUGUCAGGAUCAACAUGAUGCUUUUUUCGUCUUCACAUGAUUCCCAAAAUUCGCCUUGUAAGACAUUGAUCCAUUCCCUUUCUUUGCUUUUACUCUGUAAUAGGCCUCCCAAUGUUUUAAUUGCUAGUGGAACUCCCAUGCACUUUUCUGCAAUUUUUUUACCAAUUGAUUCAAGGUUUUGAUCCACUACACUGAUUUCAUUCCCAAAUGUAAUUUUCUUUAACAUACUCCAAGAUACAUCUAGUGUUAAACCAUUCAAAACAUAGAGUUUGCUUGUUUCUAGUCUCUCUGACACAAUUUUACUACGAGUUGUCAUUAAAAUCUUACUAUCUUCAGCACCACACAUCAAAUAAGUUCUCAACUGAGUCCAAUUUUUAUGACUAACAUUGCAAAUGUCAUCCAAAACCAACAAGUACCUCUCACCAGUUCAAUUCUCAUGAAGUGUAUGUUGUAUGUAUUCAAAUGAUAACUUAUCGUCAAUUUUGCUGUCGGUUAAUGACUCCAACAUUUUCUUCACAAUGGUCUUGACAUCAAAGUUAUUAGAUAUACAUACCCACAUUUUCUUUUCAAAAUGAUUUUGCACUUCCUCAUCAUUAUAAAUGAACUGAGCAAGAGUUGUCUUGCCUAUACCUCCAAUACCUACAAUAGCAAUUGAUGAGAUAUUUCCACGUGGUUGCCUCAAGAGAUUUAUAAUCUCCUUUUUAUCAUCUUCUCUUCCAUUGAUAUUUGAUUCUAACAAAAAAGAGAUAGAUUUGUUCCUUAAACUAUCUGUUUGCUUAACCACCACAGCUUUUGGGUUUAAAUUCAAUCUAGUCAUUUCUUCCACCACAACAUCAAACUUUUUUUGUAUUUUUUCAAAUUUUGGAACCAUUGUUCAUCUAAGAUAAAAAUGCGUUGAAGAUAAUGAACGAAAUACCCAUGUAAUCUUUUUCUUAUCACCUGCAUCCACUUUAUAUCUCAUACCUUCAAUAAUGAAUUCAUCUAGCAAGUCAUCUGCAAGAUGAAGCACAUCUUUGAGCCUUCCUAUCCAAUUUUGUUCCUGUUUCUCUUGGGCAUCAAGCAGAACAACUCUUAUGCAUUCAACAGACUUCUUAAGUCUUUCUAACUCAUCCAUAACACCAAAAAUUCGUCCAUGUUCACGAAAGGCUGCAGAAGCCAACCUAUUAAACAAAAAAUUUAGUGCACUAGUUACUUGUUUUCAUUUUGUCAUAUCUCUUUUAUUUAAAAAAAAUUGUUAAUAUAUUUGUAUAUGAUAUGUAUGGUCUUUAUUAUAAAUAAAAUAAAAUGCAUUCACCUGUUAAAGAGGCUUUCAGCAACAGCGUAUGGAAUUUGCUCGGCCAUCCUUCAAAUAGAGCAGAGAAUACAAAAUGAGGUGGCGUCUAAUAUCGAAAUGGCUUGUUUUCAUAAUUGAAGUGUGUGUGUGUUUGUAUAGAAAGGACUAAUGACUUAUAGUUAUUAAAUUUAUCCAAGGCCACUUGUUAAGAAGUCCAAAAAUGAAAUUUUAUCUUAUGAAUGGUGCAUUCAACAACUUAAAAUUUUAGAAAUUGACUUUUUCUACAUAAAACUUAUCAUUUAUUUUCUAUUUUGACUUCUUAACUAGUGCCCUAGGCCACUUGUUAUCACGGCCCUUUGAGUUUUUAGUUCUUACACACAAUUUUUCAUAUUUACAGAGAGGAUCCUAGUAAAAUAAUUUUUUCAAAAUGAAACAUACCAAAAAAUAAAGGCCAAAUGAGAUGGAUUUAAUUAUUGAAAAUGAAAUAUUUUCAUUCAAACAACCAAUUCUCCUAGAUAAAUUUUAAAAUACUACUAUCAAAUGCAAAGCAAUCUUUAACCUUCUGUUGACACCAUUCACCAAAUCCCCUUUCUCAUCAGCAAUCUUUGAUUGAUUCAGACUUUUCACGUCUCUUUUGCUUGCUUUGUCCAUUUCCCAUUGAUACCUUCUAGGACCACCUUUGAACUUAGCAUCAACAUCAUACUUCAAAUCAUAUUUCUCAUGAGCAUUAGUUGAUGACUCAAUUUCCUUAGUAACUGAGUGGUUAUAUAUAAGAUAGGCAGCUGUCUCCUUAACAAUCAACUCAUGCCCAAAAGCUACAAAUAUCUCCACAUUGUCACCAGGUCCUAGAUUUGAUGUUAUGUUCUUCCAAUCUUCAUCAUUAAAGGACAUUAUUGUAUCUCGCUUGUAUAUGUGAACAGUGAAUUUUGUAUAAUUAAUUAUCAAAACACUAGCGAGACAUUCAGUUACCAUGUUUUCAGAUAUUGUUGAUGAAUAAACAACACAUAAAGUUAUUCCCUUUAUGCAGUGAUCACUAUCCUUGGGCACUUGAAAACGUACAGAAGGUCCUUCACCUGUGUAGGCUAACCAAGAAGGAUAGUUGUCCCCCGGAAGGAAAAAUUCCCCAGAGUCAUUGGUUGUUAAUCCCUGUAUCAAGAGCGUAUAUGUUGUAAUAUUCAAAUGGACGUUUUGUGAAUAUCAAUCAAAAUUCCAAAAGGUUAAUAUGUUUAAGAAAAUAAGAGUCUACUGAAUAAAAAAAUAUAUAAGCUAGGAGCUAGCUGAAAGAACUGAUAUGCUCUCAAGGGAUACCCUCUUUCUUAUUAAAAAGAAUACAUGUAUUUCAAUUUGUAACGAGUAUGUUAGAAUAUAAAAUAAUAUUUCAUAAUAUCUUGAUAUUAUGUUAUAAUAUAUUAAAUAAACAUCUUAGAAUAUCUUUGACAAUAUAUUGAUCUCUUUUAGUUCAUGUUCUGGGAUAAGUUUGCAAUAUUAGAUUUUCCCUUGGUGCCAAUCUUUAAGAACAAGUGGGAUAUACAAAAUUGCACAAAUUAUAGGGAGAUUAAGCUAUGAAUCAUACCAUGGAUUUUGUGGAAAGCCCUAUAGAAGAGCAUGUUCGGGUGACCUAUUUUAGAGCUAUCAAGGAUAUGUAUGAGGGAGUCUCGACUAGUGUGAGGACACAAGAUGGAGACACUAAAGAAUUUUCUCAUAACAAUAGUAUUGCACCAAGGUUCAACACUAAGCCCUUAUCUUUUCACCUUAGUUUUGGAUGUACUUAAUUACGGAACACAUACAAGAAAGAGCAUCAAGAUUUAUGCUUUUUGCAGAUGACAUAGUCCUAUUCGGAGAGUCGAAGGAAGAAUUAAAUGGGAGGCUGGAGACAAGCCUUAGAAACAUAUGGCUUUUGCUUUAGUAGAAGCAAGAAAGAGAGUAUGGAAUGUAAAUUUAGCAAGAGCCAAAGCGUUUCUAGCGUAGAGGUGAAAGUUGGAGAUCAUAUCAUACCACAACGGAGAAAUAGAAGAUGUAAAUCAUCUUGGGUCUAUAGUACAAAACAACGGUGAAAUAGAAGAUGUAAAUCAUCGAAUCCAAGCUACUGAGACGAUUUGAAACCACCACAAUGUGAACUGUGGUGAGCCGAUCUGCCUUGUCCCAGAAUCUCACACCAAAGUGCAUAGCUAACGCACCGUCACAUGCUGAUCUCAGCUGCAGCAAAUUUCAAAUCCAGCUGCCACUUCAGCCUAGUGUGGUGGCACAUGACGCAAUGUUUCCAGGCCAUUUUUUUGUGUUGCCGGCUCCUCUACCUCCUCUUCUAGGAUAUGUUACUAUUUGGUUAUGGUUUGACUCUGACACGACUUACUAUUAUCACAAUCGCAUUGCAUCAUUUUCAUAUGUUCUCGUUAUGUAACUCUUUUCUCACCAUUGAAUCAUAUCACUAUAGCAGUUGCUUAUAUUCCGACAACGAUCAUUUGGUUGCGACUCUUUUCCCAUAAAUUAAUCAUAUUAGUGGUGACUUUUUUUCCUGUUGAUGGACAUUUUGAUGGUGACUUUUGUUGGCUAUCACUCAUGCUAGCCCAACACUUCGUCCCAAAUGCACUAACCUCAGCCUUCCUCCUUUUAUUUAGCAUAAACUAAUAACUUCAACAGGUUAAUGCACACAUUCUCAUGUCGGUCUACUUGCCUUUCAUAUCCUUUUAUGAUCCCCACUAUUUAUUGUAGAAAGUAAAUCACUUUUUCCUAAAUAUAAAUAAUAAUGCUAUACUAACAUUCAGUGUGGGUUCCUACGAACAUUGAGAGUAACGUAACAAGUGAACAACAGACAUUAACAGUUUAUAAAGAACAAUCUAGCAACCUAGUUCUUUAUGAUAGUAGUUAUAUAUUAUGUCUAUAAGUUUAUAACACUAACAAAAAAAUUAUAAGGUGACACCUAAUUUAAAGCAAAGCAUUGGUGUGUGUCUAUGCUAGAUUAUGUAGCGCUUAAGAUUUAACAUAUAAUAAAGGUUACAAAAGCUAAGAGGAUAGGGAAGGAACCUGUGAUAUGCUCUUGCUAAGAGCCUCAAUGAAUAUGUGGAAAUUUCCCAUUCCAAUCAAAAGUGAUCUCAAAGAAGGAUUUGAGAUUUGUGAUGCAUGUGAUGUUUCCACUUUGGUAACACUAAUAUCAUAUUGAUCAUCAAGAAUUCCCCGUAGUUCUUGAGUAAGUUGAAUCUCUGAGCGGAAUUGUACCCCAAUAAUUCUAAGCUGUAAAAGGAUGCUAUCAAUUGGUGAUAGAAAGACCAAGUUAUUUUGAUGUACAUCGUGAGAAGCUAGACAAUAGUAUGUAAUGUUCCUAAACGGGAAAAUACAGGGUAGAGAAUUCAGUGUUGGUGACAUCCAAGACCUAAUGAGAGAUUGAAAAACAUCAUGUGAUAAUCCUUCAUAUCCACAUAGGGAUAUAUAUCUGAUGCUUUUUGAUCUUACAAUUGAAAAGGGCACUUCUUUAACAGCUGUAUUAUUUGCAAUCAGUGUUGUCAAGGAUUCCAUCUGCACUAUGUCUUCUUCCAACUUGUCAAUCUUUGAACAACCAGAAAGGAUGAGAGUGUUCAAAGAUUUCAGUUGAUAGAUACUCUUUGGGAGAUUGCUAAGACCUAUACAGUCCUUCAAAUUUAACAUAAGAAGUUUAUUGAGAUCUCCAAUGGAUGGGUGUACCUCAGACAAACUUGGACAAUCCUUCAUAAUGAGCUUUUCAAGAUUUGGUAAUUUUGAAAAAUCCGGGGAGCUUGUCAAGUAUCUCGAAUGACUUAGAUUGAGAAUUUUUAGAUUCACUAGCAACUGCAAGAAGAUAUUCAAACUAAAAAUUAGAGAAAAAUGGAAAAUGAAAGGGUCUAAAUAAUUAUAAUUGUGAUUAACUUUUAGAUUCAAAAGAAAAUGUUAAUAUUAUACCUUGGUUUUAUUCCAUACUUGUUUAAUGUUGCUGUGUUUUAAUUCAAAAACAACUAGAUUUCCUUGAUGAAAGUCAUCAGGUAUACAGUUGAAGGUAAAUCCUUGCCAAUGGACCCAUCUAAGUUCUUUAGAAAGGUUUCCAUAAUCUCCAGUGAGGUCAACACAAUCAAGUUGCAGAAGUCUGAGUUGGUUCAUCUUCUUGAAAGAAUUCGUACUGAAGCAAACUCUGCCAGUUCUUUGCGACUUCAAAACCAAUCCCUCUACAGUUUCUGUUCCCUACAUAAGAAGAAAACAUAAAAGUAAUGGCCCAUUACUAAUGGGAAACCUUUUUCUUUUGCUAGAAACAAAGUGAUGCAUAAAGCUACAAUAUUGCAACCUAAGCACGCUUGUCAUGAACAUGACAAGUAAAAACAGUACAGAAACAAAUAGAGUCUAACGAUCUUGAUAAGAUGAUGGACGGUGAUUAAAGUUCUUACAGAAUUUGUGGUCAAAAUAUCAUGUACAUCCUCAUGAAACCACAAUCGACUGCGCUUCCCUGGUUCUUUUGCUGAACUUUCACGAACAAUUUCUCUUCCCAUAUCUCUUAUUAAAUCAUGCAUUUCAAGCUUGUUAUAAUUGUCAACUUUUAGGAGGCUCCGCUCUACGAGGACUGUUAUUCCAGUGUCAGCAUCAAGUCCACAGCCAUUUAGUAUCUCUGUGACAUAGGUUCUGUCCUUACCAAUAAAGAAACAACAAAUGUCAAGAAAUAUAUCCUUUUCCAUAUCUUGAUUUAACCCAUCAUAGCUUAUUCUCAGUUUUUCUUGGAUUUGAUGAUUGGGAAUUGUCUUUGGAUUUGAGAAUACACUUAUCCAAUCUUCAUCUGUCAUCUGAUUUGAGUAAGAACCAAUGACUUCUAGAGCUAGUGGUAAUCCUCCACAAUAAGAAACUACCCUCUUUGAGAAUUCACUGAAGUCUUCUCUUGGAUUAGGUUGUCUAAAAACAUGCCAGCUGAAAAGCUCAAGGGACUCAUUUUCAUCCAUUUCCUUCAUUUUACACACAUAGUCAACCUUAAAUAAAUCAAGUAGGUGUACAUCUCUAGUUGUAAUAAUUAAUACACUUCCUGGACCAAAGAAUUCAGGAUUUGCACAUAGGGCUUUUAACUGUUCAAAUGUGGUCACAUCAUCAAGUACAACGAAUACAUUUUUCCCCCGGAAUCUUUCAUUGAUCAUCAUUUGCCCCUCUGCAAUGUUAUAUACCUUCUCAUUUGUUUUCAUGACAUCGGAAAGAAGUUGUUGUUGUAAAUGUAUAAUCCCUCUAUCAUUUUUUAUACAAACUUCUCUAAUAUUUUCAAUGAAACUUGCAUGCAUAAAUUUCAAAUUAAUUUGAUUGAAGAUAGCUUUGGCUGUUGUUGUUUUCCCCGACCCACCCAUUCCCCAGAUCCCUGUCAAACAAACUUUGCUUGAUUGAUUUUGAAUAAACUGAAUCACUUGUUGCACCCGGGACUCCAAUCCAACUGGAAAUUUGGUAAUAGACAAUAAUCUCUUGUUUAGCUUUCUCAAAACGUCCUCAACAAUUAGCUCCACAAGUUCGUCUUCAUUCCUUGGAUGAUAGUAAUAAUCAUAAAACACAGUGAGCAUACAUUAGGAAAGACUACAAGGUCAACAACAAAAAAAAACUCAACAAACUAUAAAAUGUUGCUUUACCUGAAACUGAUGGCAUUCCAACCAGGAAUACUGACGGCUUCUGCUAGUGCAUUCUUCCAACUAGACACCACAUCUUCUAUCUCUCCCUUCCUUGAGGUUCUUUUUGCAGUAUCUCUCAGAACUUGUCCAAAAGCACCCUUCUGGUGGCGCACAACGGACGGAUCAACAUCAUGAAACACAGGAACAACCAGUUGGCCAUCACUUAUGUGGCACUCCAUGACAUUUUGCAGCACGUCAAGACACCAACUAGAUUCAGUGUAGUUUUUGGAGAAAACAAUGAUUGAUAUACUAGACGUUUCAAUUGCUGCCAAUAGUCCUGGUCCCAGCUCGGUUCCGGUGUGAAGCUGACCACCGUCGAUGUAAGUGGUGAUUCUGGCUUUUCUAAGGGCAUUAACUAGAUGUGAAACGAAACUCUUGCCAAUGUCUUCUCCUCUGAAACUGAUGAAAACAUCGUAGAACCAUCGAUGGUCGAAGUUUAAGGAUGAACAAGAAGAAUAAGAGUAAGAAUAAGAAUAAGAAGAACAAGAAUCAUCAUCAUCAUCAUCAUCAUCCAUUGACAUUGAUUUGAUUUGAGUGGAUGCACAGGAAUUGAAGUCAGCGCUUAGAACACUCUUCAACAAAUAAUCACUUCUUUUUUAGUUGAAUGAAUUUGUAUCCAUUACGUAUCUACGGUGGCAUUUACCACGUGCAAGUGGCAUAAUUUUCCUAAGGAGGACAAAUGAUCAUUCCAUGGAUUCAAAUAAGUGAUAAGUGUUGAAUGGUCCAUAUUUUCUUCUAACUAUGUCCACAUGCUUAACCCUUCAACAACAACAACAAAAAAAAAAAAAAAAAAAAAGGUCCACAUGCUUGAAAUGAGAUAAGUACCAAUACCAUUAUUGGAUUCCAAUGUUUCUACAUGCUUUAUUUUUAAGGGUUCAAAUCUAAACCGAUCCAAAAUUAGACUAUAAACCGAUUUAAAAAAAAUCACAAACUAUAAAAAAAAACGCAUAUUUUGGAUGCCUUUGGAUGUUGUUUUGAAAAACCGCUACAAUCGGAUUAUUUUUUCAAAACCAAACCGAUUCAUAAAUCUAAAUAUUAAUACUUAUUUAUUCUUUUAUUAGUAUUAUAUAUUGCAUUAUUAUGUUGCUAGUUGAUUUUUAAUCUUAUAUAUUGCACUAAUUUAAUCUAUAUUAUUAUUACUUCAAGUAUUUAAAACUUAAUCGAUAAUUUUCAUAUUGUAAUUUUAAUUUUUUUUUAAUAUAGUUUGUAUCAAACAUAUUAUUUUACCUUGUUUGUGUAUUAUUAAUAAAAAAAUUAUAUUCUUAAUAUGAGUUAGGAUCCAUUUACACCAAAUAUCAACGGAUUGGUUGACACUAAAUCUUAUCCUUCCAUUUUUGUGAAUCAAAAGGCUAACAUUGAUCCACUUAAAUCUCACAUAAGUGUUGCACAUUAUAUUUUUUCUCUUUCUUUCGCCAAAUCCCUGGAUGUGUUAGUUUCUCAGGUUACUGUCUAUUUUCUCCAUAAUUUGUUUCGCCAAAAGCCAUUUCUUCUAUAAUUGAAGCUUUUCAAGUCUUGGUUGCUCAUGUGUUUGUUUCUCACCCAUCAUUGGAAAGCGUGUACUAAUUAAUUUAAGGUUCUUCAUCUUUGUCCCAAUACCCUUCUUCGAAAACUCUUCCCACAAAAGACAUUAGAAGUGACACCUCCACAUUGUUCCACCCUCUACAUGCAAUACAACCAUCAAUAGUUGAUUUAAUUCUAAAUUGUGUUAAACCGAUGAAUAAUAGGGAAAACAAGAAUUCAUGUUCUCCACGAAGUUGUUAUCUAAUCUAAUGCCAAUCAUAAUUUCCAAUUACACGGAAGAAACAUGUAAUUAUUGACAAAUUGAGAUCGAUUAGAAGAUUCAUGAUUUUUUUUUUUGUUACAAAGAAGAUUCAUGAUUUUAGUGUUAGUGUUUUCAGGCUUUGUUGAUAUAACAUAGAAUAGAAAAAGAGUGUGCCUAUUAGGUGGAGCAGAGAUAGAAAGGUUCAUAUGAGUUAAUUUAAGAAAUAAUUAAGGACCCUUGAUUAAACAACAUAUGCAGUUGAGAUUUAGUGUCAAUCAAUCCAUGUCAACGGAUCCUAACUUUUUUUAAUCUAAAGGCUCAUAAUUGUUUGUUAAUUUUACUCAUAUGGUCUUUUCUCCCUUGAUCCCUACCCAUUUUUGGCUGAUCUUCUUUAACCUAACCAAGAAUGAAUGUAUUCUCCUUCUCACUGUUCACAAUCAACAAACACAACAUAAUUCUUGAAUUUAUUUCCCUCUCUAAGAAUUGGUCCAAUUUAAAUGUUUUCCCCUUUACGAAUUCAUAAUAAAAAUUGAUUUUAUCCAUUUCAUAUUUCACGAUACUACGUGGGUAUUUUCAUUGAUUAUUCAAUCAUGGUUAAACACCUAAAAUUCCAUCAAUAGAAGCAAACUCAUCCAAAAUACUCCUAUAUUCACUACCGUCCUAUUCAAUUGGGAUUCUUAUCACAAAUUUUGCAAAAAUUGUCUUAAUUUAUUGGGAUUCAUAGAAUAAAUUUAUACCAAGAGGGAAAGAGAUGCAAACAUAUAUCAACGAUGUUUAUGUGUGGCGGAGCAUAACAAAUUUUCCAGACAAAAAUGAGGAGAAUCACAAGCUGCCAUGGUUUUCAAUUUGACUUUUUUUCCAUUGUUGUUCGAUUGAAAAGGAACAAAAAGAAAGAAGAGAGCAUGUUACAGUGAGAAAGGCCCAUGUGAGUUGAUUUCGUAAAUAAUUAUUAGCCUUUGAUUUUAAAAAAUAGACGGUUGAGAUUUGGUGUCGAAUACGUUGACAUCUGGUGUCAACAGAUCCUAACUCAUAUAUAUAUAUAUAUAUAUAUAGGGUAAUGCUAUAACACACCUACCAAUUUAGAUGAAGGUGUGUUUUAGCAUUGAACACCUUCUUAUUUGGACCAAAAAACCACAACCUUUCUUUUUUAAAACAAGUUCAGUUGAAGGACAAAUAUGUAAUUAACAAUUCAUUAUUAAUAUUUUUUUAUUCUUGCUCUUAUCUCCUUUUUUGUAAAACAAAAAAGUUCUUCUUCCACAAUCAAAGACAUACGCAGGUACAAAGAAAGAAAAAUUGGGGUUACUCACCAAUACCCUUCAUCACUAUAUUUUUAUUGUUUUAAUUAUCACCAAAUUAUCUCCUUGGAUGUUUGUAAGCUUUCCUUAAACAUUUUUCUUAAAACAAAAAUGAAGCAUAAUUUUUUUUAUGAGAGAAACUCCAAUCGAACAUUAAAAUAAGGCUUAAAUGCACUUUUGGUCCCUUAAUUAUUUAAUUGGUAUCGUUUUGGUCCCUUAACUAAAAAAAAAGAUUGUUUGAGGAUUUUAAGUUUUUUUUAGUCUCGUUUUGGUCCCUUCUGUUAGGUUUCCGUUAGUUUUAAUAAAAAAACGUUAAGUGUGGACACGUGUCACCUUGUCAUUGGCUCUGAGAUUUUUUUUNAAAAAAGUUCUUCUUCCACAAUCAAAGACAUACGCAGGUACAGAGAAAGAAAAAUUGGGGAUACUCACCAAUACCCUUCAUCACUAUAUUUUUAUUGUUUUAAUUAUCACCAAAUUAUCUCCUUGGAUGUUUGUAAGCUUUCCUUAAACAUUUUUCUUAAAACAAAAAUGAAGCAUAAUUUUUUUUAUGAAAGAAACUCCAAUCGAACAUUAAAAUAAAUAUAAAAAUAUUGAAGAAAAGAACAUCAAAUUAUUAUAAGAUUUUAAUAAGAACUGCAUCCACCGCAUACAAAAAUAAAACAUGCACUUCACAGGAGGUUGGAUUUCGGAAUUGAAGAACGGUUGUCAUGUUUUCCGAAACAAACACAUCUUAAGUUUUGUUGUUGACCGAGGUUGAUGAAGGACAAAGUAUAAGGAUUUUGACGUAGGAGGAUGCGAAAGUGGUGAUGACAGCGACGACGCGGCGUUGAAGAUCUGGGAAGGAACCACUGAGCCAAGAAAGAGAUGCUGCGUGAUUCUAAGUUGAGUUAUGGAGAGGGCAAGAUUAAAAAAAUAUUAAUUAAUAAUGAAUUGUGAAUUACAUAUUUGUCCUUCAACUUGAUUUAUUUUUAAAAAGGAAGGUUGUGGUUUUUUGGUCCAAACAAGAAGGUGUUCAAUGCUAAAACACACCUUCAUCUAAAUUGAUGGAUAUGUUGUAGCAUUACCCAUAUAUAUAUAUAUAUAUAUAUAUAUAUAUAUAUAUAUAUGAUUGGGUAGAUUACGUUUUAUGAAUUCCUUGUUGUGGAAGCUACAGGUUAUGUGCAUGUUGAAAGCUAAAUGUUUUUGGAAACAUUUAUUUGAGGUUUGGUUAUAUUGGUUAUUUACUUUUGAAUGAUCUCUAUGUGUUUACUCCCUCCGUCCCUUAAUAAAUGACCCAGUUGACAAUAUACAUUAUUGACUUGACAUACUUUGACCAUACUUUUAUACUAAUUCACAAAGAUAAAUAAUAUCAUGUAAGAUGUUGUUGGAUUCGUCUCGAUGAGUAUUUUUAAAAUAUUAAAUUUUUAUAAUUUUUUUUUAGUAGAGAAUUGAAGAUAUCAAAGAUAAAACAUAUGCAUUGGUAUAUGUGUCAGAGUCAACUAGAUCAUUUAUUUAGGGACGGAGGGAGUAUUUUUUAGUGCGUACAAGCACAUGAUAGUUUAAUAGGUGUGAGUGACCUUGGGUCAGCACAAAAAAUCCAGAGAACACCACACGCAGGCGGAACUACAUCAUAUAAAGAAAAACAUCCAAGGAGAAUUUUCAAAAUUCACACUAGCUAUGGAAAAGGGAAACAAGAAGACAAAGCAAAUUCAUGAUGCCAAAUAAGUUUUUUUUUUCACUCUUUGAUAAAUAAAGUUUAGGAGGCAAACAAAUGCACCAAAGGCAAGAACUCACCAAACAGCACGCCAGGAUGAAAUGUAGAAAGCAACGAUCCCGCCAAUAGGAGCUUGAAGAUGAAACACAGAGUUAUUCUAACCUUUCUCGACCUUUGAGAUUUGUUUUGCAGCUAAAAACACGAGAAUGGACGAAUAAAAUCUCAAAGUCGCCAAAUUAAUUUUCGCCACUCCAAGCCAACAAAAGUCGCCGGGGGAUUCGAGUCGACAAAGUCGCCGAAUUAUUUAUUGCCACACCGAUGCGACAAAGGUUGCAGGUGGAUUCGAGUCGAAAAAGUCGCCGAAAUAUUUAUCGCCACACCAAGGCUACAAAGGUCGCAGGUGGAUUCGAGUCGACAAAGUCGCCGAAUUAUUUAUCGUCACACCGAGGCGACAAAGGUCACAAGUGGAUUCGAGUCGACAAAGUCGACGAAUUAUUUUUCGCCACACCGAGGCGACAAAGGUCGCAGGUGGAUUCGAGUCGACAAAGUCGCCGAAUUAUAUUUCGCCAUACUAAAGCCAAGGAACAUUUUUACGAGCAAAAAUAACAAAAGAAAAUCAUGAAUGUUAAAAGAAAUAACAGCAUCGCCACCAACAAAAGCGCAUAGAAGCAUAAAUCAUCACUUCACCUUGUCCCAAGACUCGUGCUUGGGGGGGCUGUGAAUGGUCAACCUACGCAUAGAUCAGAGCAUAAGCUCCCUAGGGAGCACUAAGGAAAAGCUAACACCUACCUAGGAGGAGUCUCCAAAUCAGGAUGAUAGGUACCCAAAGAGGCGUACAAACCAUAAAAAGGAAUCGAAUCCAAAAAAAUUCAAUAGAGCAAGCAUCUCGCCAUCCCAAAGACUCGCGCUUGGGGGGGGGGGGUGUGGACCAUCAGAAUAACUUCACAGAGACUUAGACAAGGACCACAAGAAUCGUCAUAUAAAAUACCUAUCUAAAACAAAUAUAGGCAAUACAACAUAAAUCAUCACUUCGCCUUGUCCCAAGACUCAUGUUUGGGGGGCUAUGAACCAUCAUUAUAUUCCUAAAGGCUUAAAAGUCCUCUAGAAUGGCUCAGACGCCCAUCCCAAUAAUUCUUUUUGAUAUAUAUAAAUAUAAAUAAUAAAUGUGGUAAAAUGUAAUAUACUUAUAUACGGGCCAACCUGAUAGGCUUUUUUAUAAACCUAAGCCCGACCUAUUUAAAUUAAGAGGAAUGUUAGGGACACACUCUCUAACACACCCUUUGACACACUCCAAUUAAAACCAGCCAUGUCACCUGUUCUUUUUAUUCUUUUAACCUGUCACCGGUACAACAGGUGUUUUAACGUUAAAAAUGAAGAAAAACAAUUGUUCAUUGUCUUCCUACACCGACUGAUUUUUUUGGAGACAAAGAGAGACCUUAAAAACCCUUGUCGAUGGUUGUGCAGGAGAAAUCAAUAAUUCUAAGAAGACCCAUUUCUGAUUUUGCUUCAAUUUGCUGUCCCUUAUACACCCCUUUUCAAGAAGACCCAUGACGAUGCUUCCUUCAUUGAAGACCUAUGGAAAAAUGACAUCUUCCCCAAUUUGGUACCCAUGGUUCCAAAUCCAAUACUGUCAUUCCUCUUAAAUUAAUAGGAUUUUUAAAAAGUUUAAGUUUGAUCCAUUUAUUAAACGAGAUAGGUUGAACUUGACUUUUAGUAGGCCGAGCCAUAGAUUCCUCACGGACGUCCUGGCCCAAGUUCCCCAAUUCUAAGAAGACCCAUUUCUGAUUCUUGGCUCGUAAAGUCAUUCACUUACGUUUUCCAAUUUAUUAUCUAUCCUUACUCAAGUUUAAAAGACUCACUGAGAAAUAGAGCAACGCUCAACCAUGCAUUGUUAGAAAUUUUCAUCUUCUAAUUCACAACAUCAUCAUGGCUUAUUUUCCUAAUUCACAACAUCAUCAUGGCUUAUUUUCUUUUUACACAUCACUUUGUUCAUAAUAAUAAGAAAAGGGUCAAUUAAACAUCUGUAAUUUUGUUUUUAGUUCCUAUAAAAAUAAAUUAUACUUUUUAGUCUCUAUAAAAUUUUCCGUUAGUAUUUUUAGUCCAUGUUAAAUUAAAAUUUGUUUAAUUAUGCUUAAAAUUUUAAAUUUUUUAAUGAUUUUUUACAUAUUUGUUUAAAACAUUAUAAAAGGUUCCGCCACAAUAAAUUAUCUCAAAAUUCCUCCGCAAUUUUUUAAUAACUUUUAAAUUUGUAACAUAUUUUUCACAUACUUACUUAGAAUAUUAUACAAAGUUCCUCCGCAAAAAAAUUAACUUAAAAUUUUAUUAUUAGGUCCAAAUUUUCAUUAAUAUAAUCUUUAUAUUUUGUCUUUUAGAAAAAUUCAUAUUUAAUUCAUUACAUGUUAAAAAACUAAAUUUUUUUAUAGAAGAGUGUCUUACGAUGUUAUGAAUAAAAAAUCGUUCAAAAAUUUAGAAGUUUAAGCAUAAUUAAACAAAUUUUAAUUUAACAAACCAAAAACACUAACAUAAAAUUUUGUAGGGACUAAAAAGUAUAAUUUAUUUUUACAGGGACUAAAAACAAAAACUGCUGAAAAAACUUAAUUAACCCAUAAGAAAAAUAGUAUCAAUUGAACCACAUCAACAAGCAAUUCUAAGCACACUUGAAACAAAAAGUAUGUAGUAUACUAGUAUGCAGUCUUGGUUGAGACAAAACAACAAACAGCUCGUGCACGAAGUUAUACAUAUUUCUUGUAACUUCUGAGUUUUGUUUCCUUCAACCCCAAUAUCCAUAUAUAGUACAAAGGGAGAUAAAUGAAUUCAAACAUGGCAAACAGUGACACCACACCUUACCAAACACACCACACACUCUUUUUGUAAUUAAGGAUAUGAUGAAGAUGAAGGAAAAUAAAAAAGCAACAUGGUGAAAUAGGAAAUCGCAAGUUCUUCUCAAAAUGGAUGUGUGGCUUUAUUUGCUUACAUCAGGUUGUAGCAUCCUGAAUGAUGAAGAUGAAGGCAGUCUUUUAACAGCAAUUCACAGACAGCGUUAACGGAGGAAGGGGGUUCAUGUCAUUUAGAAGCCAACACAAGGGAUGUAAUUGAUCAAAUAAAAAGUAGAGGGGAGGUAUGUGUCGUUUAACUAAAACUUAAGGGAGGUGAGUGUAAUUAUCCCUAUUUUUUUUAUCAAGGGUUUGAAUUUUCUAGAUCUGAAGGACACAUUUGAAAGCAAGGAACUCGGGAUUUUUUUGUGGCUCUCCAUCCAACUCAUAGUUGGUCUUACUUCAUGUAUUUGUCUUGCUUUAACUUAGUUAUUUGUGCUUUAGCCAUGAGUAUCUAAUUUUCUAUUGAUUAGGUCUUAGAUGAGCUUGUAUCAAACUCUUUGAACCAUGUGAUUGUAUAAACUCUACUCAAUACAAUUACAAUUCUAGUUGUUAUUCAGAAUUACUUGUGCUUAUUAAUGCUUUUUGUAACUUGAUCAAUUAUGAAAUGGACUUAAAUCUCAAUUGACUACUAGUCGUAACUGUUGAAUUUGACCUAGUAAUUAUGUUCAAUUUAACUGGUAACUUUAGAGAUAGAAGAUUGUUAGGUCAUGACUUAUAAAUUAACGUUCGAGAAAAACUUUUGACGGUUACGAACUCAUCUAAGAGAUUAAAGGGCUCUGAGUCAUAGCUAUUUUGCUAAUCUGUCGUCAAACUAGAAAAGUAAUUGUAGAGGAUAGGUAGAAUUUGUCGUUAAUUAUGUAAUCAUUUGACGUAAAACUAAAAUAGUUGCAUGAGUGAGAAAUCAAGUUCAAAUCAUAUAAGAGAAGAGAUAACCCACUGCAUAACUAGUUGCUAUACAAGAGAAAUUAUACCAUCACACUCUCUAACACACUCCUAUAACACACUCCAAUAACAUAAAGCCACGUCAUCCAUUUUCUUAACUCCUUUACCUGGUAACCGGUUCUAUAGGUGGAAGGAAAAUAACGUUAUGAAUUAAGUGCUGAUUUGUCAUCUCCAAGGGGUCAUGAGCUGCAACCACAACCCAUUUUUCUGACCAACAUGUUUCUUUGUUGUGAGCUUUCCUGUUGAUGGGGGAGUUAAAUCGAUUUUUAUAUAUGGAUUUCAUUCCUCUCAUAAAAUAGAUCUGGGUUAUGGGUUAUGAUUACAUAUGAGUUUAAUUCAUCUAAUAAAAUAGAAUUUUGAAGGAUCCAUUUCCAUUUCUCCCCCAUUCUCGUUCUCAAUAUCAAUACCCUCCUUCUCCGGUUUCAAAUCAAUUUCGUUUUCAGUUUCUAACAACAACCCCUCUUAUCAAUUUUUGGAAUUGCAACCUAAAAGCAAAGAUGAAAGUUGAGGAUGAUGACAGUUUCCAUGGCUCUUCUUGAAAAGGGGUGUACAAGGGACACAAAUUGAAGCAAAUUAGAAAUGGGUAUUCUUAGUAUAGCCCCGUUACUUUUGACGGAGGAGGAUAUUGCUGAUGUCUAUAGCACCACAACCACCAUCGGCAAAAAAAAAAAGCCAGUGCAGGAAGAUGGUGAACAAAAGACAAAUGUUUUUUUCAAAGUUAAAGUACUUUUGUUUGUACCGGUUGCAGGUUAAAGGCACAAAAAAAUGGGUGAUGUGUCUAUUUUUGAUUGGAGUGUGUUAAAGAGUGUGUUAGGGAGUGUGACCUGAUAAGUGCUCAAAAGUAACAUAUUUCAUGUGUUAACUUAGGCAAAUUAGUGACUUGUUUUGCAAGUUAUCUAAGGAAAAGCUACCAUUUGAGUUUAUUUUUACCAUUUAUGCUUUACAUGUCUGAUUCUACCCCAUUUAUGCAGGAAACGACAAGCAAGGACGAAAAGAAGGAAGCUCCUGAACCAAGGUCCGUUCGCUUAAGCGAACUACUGUUCGCUUAAGCGAACCAGUUACAGAGAGCAACCGUUCUGUUCGCUUACAAGCACGCUUCCAGUUCGCUCAUGAAGAAAGGUCAUUUCGCUUAAGCGAACUAUGGUUCGCUUAAGCGACCAAGUUCCAGUGAGCUCCAGAAAAGUUCGCUCACAUGUUCGCUUAUGCGUCGCUUAAGCGAAGUUCAUCCAACUUCAGAGGAUAUGGACCACGUGGCAGCACCUCAAUGGUCAACUGGAGAUUUCCUGGUUGUUCGCUUAAGCGAACUCUGCUUCGCUUAAGCGAACUGGCACGCAGUCAGCCCAUAUAAAUAGUUUUCUCUUCUCUUUCCAUAGGAUUAUUACAUUUUUAUUCAUAUUUUUCUGGUUUUAGAGAGAGAGACUAGGGCUUUUCUAGAGAGAGAAACACAAAGCAAGGUAGUUAGGAGUAGAUUCAAGCCAAGAUUUGUUGAGACAUCAUGGAUCUUGUCAUAGAAUCUUCACCCUUUCUUCAUCCAUUGCAAAGCUAUCAUAGACAUAUGUAGCUACAUCUACUCUUGUAGUUUUGAGGUAUUCAAACAAGCUAUUAUGUAAUCUUUUGAUCUUUUAAUAUAUGGUUCUAGCAAUUUAUUCAAUAUUGUUGUUAUUCUUGCUUUUAUUGUUUUAUUGAGAUUCAAAAUGAUAUGGACACAUACUUUUGAAUCUAGAAAUAGAAUAACAAUCUAUCUUAAGUUAUCACUCUAGACAUGGAUGUUAAUAUUUGAUAAUCACUUUUAAUCUAGGACUUAAUGCUUUUGGGUAAUUUAAUCGGUUGGGAAAUCGUCGAUUAAACUACCCAAUCGACUUUGUGAUCGUUUAAAUGUUUGGGAAAUCGAUGUUUAAAUGAUCCCUUAGAAAUAACGAUAUCAUUUGGACACGAAUGAUAUUGUCGAGUGAUUGUGAUAAUAUAGUUUAAAAAGCUAGAAUCCGUUAAUCGAUCGAGAGAUUGCAGCUGUUACGCUUGGUUGAUGUCUCUGACCGCAAGCGGAAUAGCCCUAUCUCUUCUCGUUUUACUUUUAUGUUGAUUAGGAAAAUAGUUUUACACAAACAAACAAUUUAUACCCAAACACUUAACGUAACAAAUAUUGCGAAAAUGCUUAUGAAAUACGCAACUCCCUGUGGACACGAUCCUAUUAUACUUAUGUGUAAAUAGUUUUAUGAGAGGUAAAAAUCCUUCAUCAUGACCCUAGCAUUUCUCGCUAUACAAAUAUAAGACACUGGUGGCGCUGAGCACACAAAUCCAAGUAUCACACAACAACGACGAUGUAGAACGAUGUUGCAUAACUAUCUUCACUACUCGGAAUGCUAUGUGGAUCUAUUAUCUAUAAGAUAACUUAAAGUUGAACAAAUAGGAGUGCUCCCAUUAUUCGGUGUAUAUGAUCAGGGCCGUUCCUAAAAUUGGAGACCCAACUCUCAAAGUAAAAGAGAGAGAAAAACGCAAAUUUCUUUAGAGAGAAAAAAUGUUUGCAAUGUUUGUUUUAUUUUAUUUUUUGAGAGAAUAAUUAUAAUAUUUAUUGUCGGAACUUUGCUAUUUAAUACUGGACCGUCAUAAUAUUCCUAUGGACCUAAAAGACCUCCAAAAGGGCUUCUUAGACCCUCAAAAAGGGCUUAGCGCCCUUGAAGAGAGCCCAAAAGCCCAAGGCGCAGAAGCCGCCUUUCUAAACCUCUAGAACUUUCUAGAAACCGCCCAAAAGGCCUAAAUACCCUAUUACUUGGAGACUAAGCAACCAAAACCCAAGCCCAUAGAAGAGUAUAAAUACCACCCUUGAGAACACUUCCAAGUAUCCAAUAUUCAGUCUAAACCCUAAUAAACGAUUCUUAACCCCUAGAAUCCUUAUGGUACUUUUUCUGCAAGUACAGUUGGCGCCGUCUGUGGGAACCGGUAAAACUGACCGGGCCACACUUCAAUCCAGCCUUGUUUGAGGCCGUCAUCACUGACCUCCGCAUCCAUCUCAUCAUCGAAGCCGCUAAGAAUCACACCGCCAUGAACCCUACCGACGCCGUCUUGAGAGGACAUCAACAAACCGUAAAGCAGCGUUAUACCAGAUUAUGUGCAUGAGGAUAUGACAUAUAUUUAAUUGCUAUCUGAAAUCUGAUUUUUAACUGGAAACCUUCUUACUGGAUCGGUACCUGCUUGGAAAAAGAACAUCGACGUGUAAGUUCUUGUUCUAAUAUUACUUGUAUAAUUACUUUGAUCGAACAAAGUACUUCAGUUAUCAUGCGGUAAUACUAUAAACGUAUCAUCCGUUAUUUAAAUAUUUUACUUUUCUAAGUUAACUUUGUCUUUCUUUCUGCUCGCUUCCUUGCCUAGCUGUAUAGUUUAUGUUUCUGUUUGCUUUUAAGUGUAUGACCACCAAGUACCAACUAUACUGCCAUGAUUAAGUAUUCAUCGCCAAAUUAAAAUUUCUAAAAACUAAUUCUUAGAGUUAGGUCCAUAAUCAUUAGGCGGCAAGGUACACGUUCAUGUAUUUAAGAAAUAGCUUAUAUGUAAGGUUUCCUAUGAUAAGUACUUAUUGAAAAACUCUUUAACUAAGAUAUAUAUUCAAAUGCUCCCGUUUCUUUUAAGAAUUGGUUGAAAUACAUGUUUAAUCGCUGGUGUACAUGUUUAUCUGGCUGCUUAUCAACAUAUCAAGUUUACUGCUGCACCUCUUUGUUAUAUAGAAUAUGGACAUGAUCUCUAGAAGUUUUAAGAGCAUUAGAUAGAUAGCAGGUUUGCAAAUUGUGGCAAGAAAUUUUAGUUAAUAACUAAAUACUCUCUGAUAUGAUAGGAAGUAUAGUAGUAACAUUCUCAAAAGGGGACCGUAUGCUCUGUUUCUUUAAAUUUUUGUAAAUAAAUCGUAUUUAUGAUAGUAUGGGUUUUGACAGUUGAUUUGAAAGUAACUAACAUGAUUUGUUUGAGUAUGUAUGUAAUAUCUUUGUAAAGAGAAUUCUACGAAUUAACAAGAGGGGCAAGAACUUCAACGAACCAAGGGAACACUGCACAACCGUAACAACAUCUCUCGUGACUCAGAGAGAAAAAUAACGUUCAGGUUUUAUCUUUCCGAUCUUUACGUGUAGGACAAUUGUAUAUUGAGAACUGACUUAUUCUUUGAUAGCCUAUUAUAUUUUUGUUUUUACUCGGAUUGGCGAAUAAAUAGGAUGAUGGGCGAGUUAGUUCCAAUUUCUUAAAAUAUGAGAGAAAAGAGCACAACAAAUAAGAAAAAUAGGUAGAAGAAACUAACAUGAUUCUAAAUUACGGUAGUCUGUGUUAUGAUUAUGAUAUAUAAACACAUACAUAUAUAUAUUUAUCAUCUAUCAUGAUUUUUAAUUUCGAAGUUUCUUAUCGAUUUUGUUUAUGUUGCAAUUAUUUUUUGGUGCAUAUACAUCAUAUGUGGAUAAUAAGUCUUAUAGUCAAAAUUAGCUUUACAUAGUGGAUUUAAUAGGAGCACGACAAGAUAAUGGGUGAGACAGUCCUGAGUUAGAAAGAAUAAAUACUUUAUUCAAUUCUCAUUUCAGUAGAAGAAUGAAGAGGAGGGGAUGAAAGGAAGAGAAAUACAAAGUAUAAGCGAGCUAAAUGAAAGAAGACAAAGAAUAGUUAGUUUCCAUUAAAUAUGAUUGCAUAUGAUUAAAGGACUCGUUUAUUUAUGAUACUGAUUACUUUGGAAGUUUGGAGAAAUUGUUAUAUUUCAGAUAAAUCAAGGUUGGGAUACUAACAAGCCCGCCAAGGGCUAGAUGAAUGAAAGGAGAAAACUCGCCAAUCAACACGCCAUAAUUAAACGAGCAUGGAAGCAAUAGUCCCACCAUUGAAAACAUAAAGAUGAAACGCGGAGUUAUAUUCUAAAAUAACUUUUUCGACCUUUGAGAUUUGUUUUGCAGGUUUUUUAUAAGAAGAAGUAUCGACAGACCGCCCAAACUGGGUCAACCUUUUUAAGACUCUGACUUGGUGGCCCGAUAUAUUGAAAUCAACAGUCCGCCUAUCAAAGGCGGCCCGAUAUAUUCAAAUCGACAGUCCGCCUAUCAAAGGCGGCCCGAUAUAUUCAAAUCGACAGUCCGCCUAUCAAAGGCGGCCCGAUAUAUUCAAAUCGACAGUCCGCCCAUAAAAGGGUUAACCUUUUUAAGGCUCUGACUCGGCGGCCCGAUGAAAGGGAAAAAAGAAGAAGAUUCAUAAGUAAUCAAAGAGGUUAAUGAUUCUUUUCUCAUGAGCAAAAUUUGUUCACAAAGAGUAUAAACGGCGAGGACCGUCUUUGCAAUUUACAUUAAUCGAUUGCGAUCAAAAGCACCACAAAGGGUAGUCGCCCUCAUGAAAUUCCAGAUGCUUCUGAAAAGCAUCUAGUCCCGGAAGAAGUAUAUUCUAAAGUAAUUCGUAAGCUUUAAAAGCACCACGCCUUGUACCAAGACUUGUGCUUGGGGGUUGUGGACCGUCAUUAUAUUCCUAAGAGUUUAGGGACCCACAGGAAGGACUUAAACAACAUCUGUAGGGACCUAAGAGGUUCUUCAGAAAGUCUGUGAAGAUUGGGUGCGUUAUCCUAUAAGACGUCGCCACGCUACAGACUUCAAAACCCGCCUAAAUCUAUUCUUUAGCUCUAAAGCACCACGCCUUGUACCAAGACUUGUGCUUGGGGGCUGUGGACCGUCAUAAUAUUCAUAUGGACCUAAAAGACUUCCAAAAGGGCUUCUUAGACCCUCAAAAAGGGCUUAGCGCCCUUGAAGAGAGCCCAAAAGCCCAAGGCGCAGAAGCCGCCUUUCUAAACCUCUAGAACUUUCUAGAAACCGUCCAAAAGGCCUAAAUACCCCUAUUACUUGGAGAUUAAGCAACCACAACCCAAGCUCAUAGAAGGCUAUAAAUACCACACUUGAGAACACUCUCAAGUAUCCAAUAUUCAGUCUAAACCCUAAUAAACGAUUCUUAACCCUAGAAUCCUUAUUGUACUUUUUCUGCAAGUACAAAUACUAUAAGUAUAAGUAUGGGGCAAAAAUUGCAAAAGUGCUCUAAAAAAUAAGAAGGAAAAAAAGUUUAUUGUGUUUGUAAAUAUAUAGUCCAAAAAAAUAAGAAUAAAAAAUAUAUCUAACUAUCGUGAAUUCGGACUCAAAUCUCACACCAAUACAAACUAUGAUGUGUGGAGCAAAGGAAAGUGGUAACCAAUAUCAAAACAAACACAAGCAACAACAAUAAUAACUACACCUAGAUCUAAUCUAGGAAUCAAUCAAAGUGAAAAGUACAAAAUCACAAGCAAAAGAUAAAGAGAGAAGAGAAACAAACACACCAAAGAUUGUUUACCCAGUUCGGUCCAACUUGACCUACUGUGGGGGAGAGAUUGAUCUCUUCAAUCCACUAUCAAUGAGUUCUUACAAAGAGAUACAAAUGAGUUACAAGAAAUUAGGUUAAACAAGCUCACAAAGAACAAACUUAAUUUCUACCCAUUUUCCCAAUCUCACCAAUAAACAAGAUACUCAAUGAUUUUCACUCACUCAAGGUGUUUACAAUGUUUCCCAACCCAAGAGAACCCUAAUCAAAGACCCUCAACCGUAAAGUUACCUCCUUUGAUUUCCCAAGUUUUUCUCUCUUGAACCUCCCCCUCAAAAAAUGAAUUGAAACACUUAAAUAGUGACUUAAUACUGUCAAAAUCGUGUCACGAUUGUCAAAGUUGUGUCAUGGUUCAUUGUGUACGACCCAAGGUACACAAAUCUUAUCCAAAAAACGUGCCAAAAAUCAUAUCACGAUUGCUCAAAAUCGUGUCACGAUUUUCCUCCUGAAAACACGAUGCUCACUGCGUACCAAUUUUGUAUGGUAGUAGUUAUAUACAAUUAUUUUGGUAGUGUAGUAGUUAUACACUAUGAUACUGAAGAAAAAGUGCUUUAUAAGGAAGAAAAAAUAUACUACUCCCUCCGGUC
rnacentral:lncRNA from 1 species